rnacentral:lncRNA from 1 species
CUCGUCAAUCUCAACUUCUAUUUGUUUCACCAACAGAGAUGAUGGAGGGUUUAGAACCGCAUUGUAUUAUUCCAUGUCUUCUAAAUGGAACAUAACACUCCCAAGUUUUGGGAUCGACGCCAUUCGAAGGCAAUGGAAAAGGGGCAAAGAGAUGAUCGUUCGCCAGUGGGAUAGAGGGAAAAACUUUGUUGAAUAUUGGUGAUAGGAUUGAUACCAAAAACACCAUUCAUUCAGCCUAUUGGAUUCUGUGUGCACCAACUUUCGGAAAAACUGGCCAACAAUACAAUCUGCCCUUUUUACAAAGGUUCUAUACUGAUCAGACAAGGAGGGUGCAUCCUGGGUCUAAUACGAGAAUGACCAGCUGUAGAAGAAACUGAACUGUUGUCAAAAGAGUCACACUGAGCUCUCCAUUCAGAAUAUGAUGAAUCAGUCAAAACGACAUUAUUGAAACACUUUGGUACGUCCAACUCUACCCCUCAAAUCUUCAACAUUAGCAACAUAGAGAUGGUUAUCAACAAGCACUGCUGUGGGAGCAGUAAAACCAUCAUCUCGGUAAGUAACUCUUUCAGUAUCCAGACAAAAUCAUGUCAGCUUGUUGAUAUGUUUCACUUAUUGCCAAUUUAGUAUUUGUCAUAGACGCUGGAUGCUUUAACAAAUUCUCAAAGAGAUGCUUCUUCAAAAACCUGCUGCUACAGUUGUCUUCUUCUCCUAUCAUCAUUGCCUAUCUUUCAACAACUCUCUUCCUAAAAAGCGGAUACAUCACCUAGCAACCUGAUCGAUAUUGGGAAACCACUAGCAAUCACUGACUUGAAUACAUUCAGUUCAAAGUGGCAGUUUGAUCCAUUUACAGUAAUAGCCACGUGAGUUCCCAUAACCUUGAGAGUGGCAUUGAACCUCAAUCGAUAGAGGAAUAUUGGCAGCAUAAUCCUCAACAUCCCCACCUUCCAGUAGUAGUCAGCGUGAUACUCCAGAAUACCCAUAAUCAUGUGGAGUUUCUUCAAUGGAUCUGAAGGAAUAUGGAGCAAAGCUGUCAUUUCACCCUUCAAGAGAAGCACAGGAAGCCAGGACCAGAAGCUAAGCAGUUAUUGGAGCUUGGUGGACUGGGUGGUGGGAUUUAGUGGGAGAUGGGUUAGUGAGGUGGCAGGUUGGAUGGAUGAAGAUAUGGGUAUGAAGGAUAGAGAAAUGGGUUUGGUAAGGUAGGUUUAAUGAAAGGUGGAUGAAUUCAUGAGAGGAAAUGGGUAUGAACGUGAGCAUGGUGGGUGGAAAUAUAGCAAUGAGAGAGAACGGGUAUGAUGAGUACAGUCACUGGGCAUGCUAAAGUAUGUGGAUGAAAAUGAAGAGCAUGGGGAUGAGUUUGAUGUGUGCAAAGGUUGAGGUGACAGAUUGAGUGACGAAGAGUAGUGGGAAGGGUGCAAAGGCAGAAUGGAUGAGUGAAGGAAGAUAAUGAGGGAAUUCCAUUGUAUACAGACAUUAGAAGCCAAUACUGCAACCAACAGAUACAGUGUCCCAGAUUGCUGAAGUCAUAGCAGACGCUUUCAAUGAUACAAAGCUGAUGAUGAAGCCCGUAACUACAGGAGCAAAUAACUUGCAGAUUAAAUCAAUCAGUCUUAAUACUGUAUUCAUCCUUGUCAGUACUUUAGGUGGGUGCCCUUCUGACAUCACCACUACAUGAGCAUCCCAUGAAACUCAGCACUGAAGCUGAAGCAGCAGGCGACAAAACUUCCUCACCCAUCCAGCAUGCUACAUAUAUCUUAUAUAUCAAUGUUGCACUCUGAAGCUUCCCCAGGCAUGUCUGAAUUUCCUUCCACAAGUGCUGCCACAAGAAUUCCAAUUUUCUGACUUCGUUAUCACUCAUUUGCAUUUCAGAAAGGUCAUCACGCUUGAUCCAGAGUUGAGUGUUUUUGGGCAAAUUAUGAAGAUUCCACUUAUGAAUAGGAGUAGGCACAUGAGCGAAGGACUGCAGCACCGACUUUGGGAACAUUGACCUUAGGUCCAUUUGGUUUCAUUUUUGGAGUGAGUGCAGCCACUUGGCCAUGAGGACAGAUCCAAAGCCACGUGGGCACCACUUCCAGUUGCUUCUGGAACAGCUUAAAACAAUUCAGACUUAGAAUUCUGGAUAUCAAAAGCUGAUUUGUACAAACUCCUGCUUUCUAGAGGGAAUAUACGCCUUAAUGCAGUAGAGGUUUUGCCACAACUGGAAACCGGGGAGGUGCACUGAUCAUCUAUGUCCAAGCAGGUAUCAACAUUAUGACGUGUGCCAUCACAAGAAGGUCCACCAUUUACGCUUAAGGCAUUAUCAUCAGGAGCUUUGCAACCAAAUGCAUAUGAGGACUCCACUUCAAGGAAGCCUGAUUGAAGGGCAGCAAUAGCAUUGUCGCAUUUCAGAAGGGCAUUAUCACGCUCAGAUAUUACAGCAUUUUGUUGCAUUAGUGCCUCAUAUCUUGGGAUUGUCAAUUUGCAGCUAUUGUCAUGAGGGUUCCCCAUAACUUUGUAAAGCCUCAAUGUGGAGAUAAGGAUUUAUCAUUUGAGCAGCAACAGCAAUGACAGCUGAUAAAACAGGGUGGUCCUCUCGCUUGCCACUUUGUUUAAAGCGAAUUAGUACAAUUGGCAAAGCAAGAGUUGCAUUCCAACUAUGGCUGCCAUCGUCAAAGAAAGCCCCGAAAGGGUCAAAAGGAUCUUUGCCAACCACAUAGCAGUCCCUAUAAGACAAGAAGCAAGAGCUCUUGUCAUAUAAUUCAGGAUCCUGAUGGCGUUUCAGCACCAUCCAGAGCACAGCCAGCAAUGGUGCCAUCAAUCAACAACUGCUUCAGAGCACAAUCAUCCAGCAGCUGAUUACUCCCUUCAAUUAAACAAAAUAAGCCCUGGGCUGCCAUCUCCACAGGAGCUCCUGCUACUGCUGCUAGUGGUGGUGAUACGGCUGCUGCCACCCUGAACUGAUGCUAUGCUUAGGCACAAGGCUUCAACCAGUGAUCCACCAGCAUGCUGAUCAAAUUGCCUUACGUUUACUGGUCCCUCUCUCAUUGCUGAGCGGAUGUCUGCAAGUUCUGCUUCAGAGUCUGCAAUUGCUUGCUGUAGAUGACUUACCUUUCUCUCAUAUGCCUCCAGACACUCUUUCUCAAGUUCAAGUAGCAUUUCAUCUGGCUCAAACGCAGAGAGAAUUGCCUGUCACUUGGACCCUGCUUACCUCACUCUCGAACUUCUCCAGUCAGCUAAGAAACACACUCAUUCAGCUUACUUGACCUGACAUGACCCUGAUCAGGCUCUUUCCCUCAGCAUCAUGCAUAUACACAUUCAUCACAUCAAAUGUAGAGAUGGUAACACCCAUUAAGCCAUAGACCAGUCGUCUCUCAUCAAGACUUCAUGCAAAUGAGAGGACAAAUUUCCCAUCGUCACCUCUGUCGGUUGGCUUGUAGUGAUUUGACUCUUCAGCAGAUCUCACGUUCACAAUAAUCUCAAGAAAUCAUUUGAGAGUUGUCGGGCAGAAGCAACAAAGCAUUUCAGGCUAAGUUGCCAUUCUUUCCUUGCAAACCAAGAAGAAUUUAUUACCAUCCUGAUAGCCUUGCCGAGGUAACCAGUCAUGAUGAAGAAAGAUAAGUGCAUAUGCAAGAGAGUAGGAAUAAGGCACUGCAACUUGAGAGUAUUUUGGGGGAUCAAGUUGCUCCAUUGUAGUACGCAUUUGGCUUGCGGGAGUGUGAGUGCAGCACCAAAGCCUAGACAAGAGGAAAACACUUGGGACGCGAACAAGCUUGAUGCUGCUACUGAUGAUGAUGCCGCUGCCGCUACUGCUCUAUGGUUGAAUUUGCAAAGUCCCUGGAUUCCCUUCAUGGAAGCGUGUGCAGCUGUGACAAACUAACCGAAGUAACGUCGAAGGAAACCCAUUAUGCCUAUACUCGUCAACACUGAUGCCGGAUAUCAAGAUAACGUCGAGCGAAGACAACGGGCCUCACUUGUUGUAAUCCAUAGGUGAUUCAAAAGUCAAAUUCCAUGCACAAACGGGAAGGCAACAAGAUGUGUUUGCCUAUGAUACUAGCCUCAGAAACCAUGCCAUUGACAUCAUUGUGCUCGUUACUGCUGAUGAGAAAGCCACAGAACCACUAAAUGGAUCAGGUUUCUGCUUGAAAUGUCCAUUUCCACAUGACAGAAUUGAAGCCAUUGUCUAGGAAUUUGAAGAGCGCAUGCCUCAAGAGGAAACAUGUUUUAACUCAUUGCUGGCACCGUCUAAGGGACACCUGGCAAUUCUCCUAGGACAACGGCACCUGGCAGCAAUGCAACGACAGAUGGUGCCACGUCAAAACCGCUGGUUAAUAAUUCCAUCAACACCAGCACUCCAAGCUCUGCUCAACACUACUGCAAUAUCAGACCCGUGGCACUGCUUGCCAUUGUAGAUUCCCUUGAACAUGCUAUCUGUUAGACUUUCUGGCAAAUCAUGUAGUGGGAUCCUAGGGAAUAGGAGUCACCACUUCACUUUCUGCCAGGUUGAAGGCUUACUUAAUGACUAAGACAGAGAGGGCUUUUCACAAUCACUUGCACUGUUCUUCAAAAUUCACUUGGCUACAGUGCUGCAAUCAACAGGAAGGUGAGCUCCCUCUGUACAAUUCCAUUAAAAGUUACAUGAGCGUGGCAGGAAACGUCACAGCUUCCACCACUAACAACAAAAAAACAACUUCAUAAUCACAGCCUGGAGCAAGACAACAUUUGGCAUCCCUAUCGUCUUCAAUAUAGUGUUGGAAUCUUUCCAUCAGCUACAGGACUUCCCAGCCGUCCAUACAUAGUACUCCACAUUGCUGCUAGAUUCUCCAUGCACGAGAAUUCCAGCUUUAAGACGAGCAUGUUCACUUAAAAUAUCCACAGUUUCAAUAAAGUCAACACCCUUGUCCCAUCAUCCAAACCCUGAUUUCUUUCUAAAGGAGUAUCUUCUUUAGCUUCAUUCUCUGAUCUGCUUUCAGGUAUCAAAUCUGGAUUACAUGAAAGUCUGCGGCAUGACCUUCCUCUUAUUCUUCUUCUUCGCUAGCAAGCUUUCUCUCCCUAGCUAGCUUUACUCUCAGAUCCUUCUCAUAGAGCUCUCAGAACCCCUCUUAGACCAGCUGGAGAACAUCCUUUUUCUGCUCAUUUACCUUCUCAAAAAUACCUGCAACUCUCUCUCAAGUAUUCUUUUUCUCUCCAAGCUACUUCCUCUUCUCAAAAACAUCAUUCCCUACUCUCUCUGUUCUCUCUGUCUCUCUUCGGCUUGUUUGCUUCUUCAACCAGAACAACCUCUACAAAAUAUCUCUCAAAACCCAAUAUGUUCCUUUCAACCAUAAUAGAUCUCUGUGGGAGUGUGCAGCCAAACCUGGAUAUACCCUUUCAAAGCCUUUGCAUUGAGCAAGGCAUAGAAACAAAUAGUGGCCACAACAAAGAAGAAUCCAUAGAAAAUAGAACACAAAAGAAAAUGAGUAAAGGGGAUCUUCAGAGGCUUCACUUCAUGGGUCAUCAGUGAGCCCUCUGAUCAGGUGAGAAAGACCAUCUCAAAUGCAACUAUGAGCAUUUUCACAAUAGGAGCAAAACAUACUAAGAUUAACAGUGGUAAACAUGUAGGCAUGAUUAUGUUUCAACAAGCAAUAAGUGGCCUUCAUUAUCCACCCCAAGCAAAUCAAUAAACACUCAAACAUCAGUAGGAAUCAUAGAGGAGUAAUAAGAAUCCAGAUCAAAUAAUAAAUCAAUUGCAUUCAUACCUGAAAGAACCCUUUUCCAGUAAGGCUCUGUUUAGCUAUCGAUGCCUUCAAUCCUCCUCCAAUGUCGACAAAACCAACCAGCUUACCCUUCUGAACAGCACCCCCUCCUCCUGCAGCUCCAAUGAACCCCUCCGAAGCUCCCCCCAAAAAACUCUCAGACCCUCCUCUCAAGCCCUCACACCUCUCUCUCACAGUUUGCUGCUCCUCAACAGAAACGCACCCCUCUCUCCUGCAGCUCCCUGCCCCAAGCUCACCAAAAAGCUCUCCAGAAUUUUUCUUACCGUCGUCAAUGGGAUCCCCCCCUUCCUUUGCUGCAGCUGCCUGCUAAAACUAUCCUCAACGGCCAGACGACACCACCUGCAGGAGACGCCCCCCUCUCACAGCAACGUACCUCUUCUGCAUAUCCUCUCCAACUUGCACUAACGGCCAGCAGAUUUUCUCAGAAUCACCUUUACAGGUGUCAACCCCUGAUUGCUCCUCCAACUUCACUAUUGUGAUUCUCUAGCAGCUAGUCAAAAUGUGACACGUGGCUUCCCCAGAUGGUGACACCUGGCUAAAAGCAAGUUGCAGAAAAUGAGCCCCAAAUGGGGGUCUACAAAAUGUUAAACUUUUUUUGUAACAAUCCUCUCUCAACCGUGUAGAUAUUAUCCACUUUGGGUUCAAAAGGGCUUUCACAGCUUUAAAACUCAUCUACAAGGUUAAGAGGAGUCUAUAUUUGUAUAACGUCAGGAACUUUCCCUUCUAUUUGAUGUGGGAUGUCACAAAACCUACUUCCAACCAUGUAAAUAUUGUUCGCUUUGGGUCCAAAGGAGUUCUCACGGCUUUAAAACGCAUCUACAGGGUUAAAAAGAGUUUAUACUUAUAUAACAUUAGAAACUUUCCUCUCAUCCAAUGUGGGAUGUCACAUUUUUCAUUUAGAAAAAGUCAAGUAUUUUGACUUUUUUUAUAGGGUGAAAAAUAUUUAAGAAUAAAUAAUAAGUUGAAUAAAAAGUUAAAAAUAAACAUCUAAAAUUUGAAAACAAAGUUCUUUUAGCAAUAAAUUAAAAAAAACAAACAACCUUUUAGAGUUUUUGGCAUAUGCCAUAUAGAAAGAUGUUAAUUGGUCGUGCAAUUUGUGACAAUCCUCUUUUGAGAACCAUUUUAAUUUACAAAUUAAGGUUGUAUCAACCACAUCAAACUUGACUUUUACACAAAUAUUGAAGCAAGGCCUAAGUUUUGAAAGAGACUAUUUAUUGAUGUCAAAAUCAUGAUAUUAUAUAAUCAAGUUGCUAAAGAUUAUAAAUUGAUGUCGAAAUCAUGAUAUUAUUACAAUCAAGUUGCUCUAUUCUUGGUUGUAUAAAUGUCCAACCGUAUUAAGAAUCCAAAUUUUCACAAGCAAACAAAUUAGCAUAGGUUGUUGCAGUUCCGUUACAUCAAGCUUCCUCAUGUCCUAAUGGUUAAGAUAGCUGAGAUAUGCCAAACCUCUUGAUUUAUUCGAUUAAGGUGUGUUUUUUUUAUGCGUAAGUUGAUAAAGAAAUGAAGUUUCGUUUGUAAAUAUAAGAUCAUCAAGAUUGAAAUUAUUGGGAAGUGUCCCAAAUUCCUAAUUAGUACAAAGUUCUUUUUAUAAAGAAUAUUGUAUAGAACAUUCUUAAAUUGAUAUAUUAUUGUAAUAUUAGAUUUUCUUAUAGAAUGAGAAAAGUUGCUAGAAAUAUCUUUAUAACUAUUCGGAAUAAAGAUAUGAAGAAGAACAAGAGAUAAUAAUAGAGCUCGUAGUUUAGGUUGUGCAUAUAAGGAAUGGGGAAAUAUGAAAUGUUUCGGGAACCUAAUAAUUGUAUCUGAUUUUGUCAUCUAUAAUGUUGGAAUUUUUUAUGUGUGGACUUACAUAAUCAAUGUGAUAAUGCCAUAAAUCAAUGUUAUUUUAUUUUUGCAUUGUGGUCCAUAAUAGGGCUGGACACAUAUUAUUGCUUGAUUUUUUAUGGGCUCACCUUAAUUCACUUGACUUGCCCAUUAAGUCAAGUGGUCCAAAUAAUGUGUGUAAUGUGUGUUAUAUAUGAAUAUAUUUAUUUAUAUAUAGUCAUAUAAGUGCAAAGGAAAUGGCAAGUCUUCUCUCCUGCUUGGGGCGGCUGAAAAGGGCAUGCACUGCACGCACUCUUGAGAGCACACACUUGAACUGAAUCUUGGGGAGGAAAGGGAAGAGCUCAUUGAACCCAGAUUCACACACCAUCACGAACUAAGCUUCUUCUUGAACACUAGUAGAGCACAAAAUGGCUUUCUAUGGCAUUAAUCAAGCUGAGCAUUUCAUUUAUUGUCAUUUAAUGCAUACUUAAAUGUCUACAUGUGAUCCUAUGUCAUUUAAAUUUUCAUCAAUUGGUAUCAGAGUGAUACAUGGAUGACAUUUGAGCUGCAUAUUUGAGUUAUUUUGGGUUUCCCGUUUUCUGGUUUGGAAGCCAUUUUUGGAGCUUUUUUUUUCGUUUGGUGUUGAUUCUCGGUUUUCAAGCCCGAUUGAUGUUGGAGACUUAUCGAGAAUAUUGUUUGGAGCAAAACUCAUCCUUUUUUAUGGUUUUUGGAGCUCAUUUGAUGGGAUUUUGAAAAUUAGGGCUUAUUUUGGUUCUUCCUUUUAUGCGUUUUUUGUGUAAUUCUUGGGUUUAGAUUGAAGGAUUGAUGUUUGAGGAUGGAAACCUAAGUGUUUUCAUCGGAAAAUGCACAAAAUUUUAGUCGAUUUUUUUUCUCUAGAAAAACCAAGUCGUGUUCAGCCCGACAGGGAAGAUGAGAUGACAUCAUAAAAAAACUUUCUUUUUUUUUUUUUUUGGUUUUGGUUGUUUUGGUAUUCUUGGAAUUAUUGUGCAUUUGUUAAAUUUGGUUUUAUUGGGACAAUUAUUAUUAUUAUUGUUCUUUAUGGUAUAAUUUUUUAUCUUAUACCAAUAAUGUUGUCCUAGGCCCUUUUUGUUAAAUAUUUAAAUUUAUUAUGGCAAUAAAGAACACUUGUGUAAUUGCCUAUCGCAAUUCCAAGUGUGUUAAGGUGUGCAAAUUAAAUAUUUGAGUUUAUUAUGACAAUAGUGAACAUAUAUGGGGUUGUCUAUCGUGAUCCUAUAUGUGUCAAAUUGUCUUUGUUGAGAUAUAUCUCCCACUUUUGGUUGUUUUAUUAUUGUGAUUACUAAGGUCCAUACGGGUACUAUAAUUGUUUUAUCGAUGAUUGUAAUACUUGGUAGAAUGCUUAGAUUGGUGAAGAAAAUUAAUUAUAUAUUAUGAACCGUACUAUUUUUUUUUUUUUUUUUUUGCCCUUUUGGUAAUAAAAUUAGAGCAUCUUGGUUGUAAUAUUUAAUUGGUUGUCCUUACCACCGUGGAAUUUCAAAAUUCCAAGCUAUUGCUAAAUUGAGAAAUUCUGGAAAGUAGCAAAUAGCAUGAUAUUGUAGUAACAUGCAUAUUGUAUAAUUUUGUUAUUUUCCAGCUACUAACAAUCCUGGAAUUACUAUGCAAUUAUUUGUCAUCAAGCCUCUUACUGGAAAUAACUUUGAGGAAUGGUAUGAGUCUUUCAAUGUGCAUAUGACUCUAUACAAUUUGGACUUGGCUUUGAGAGUUGAUGAGCCAAGUAAGCCCACUGAUGUGAGCUCUACUGAUGAAAGAUCUUUUUAUGAGAUAUGGGAGCACUCCAAUAGGAGUUGUUUGAUGGUGAUGAAGUAUACUAUGGAUAAAUCUAUUAAAGAAUGUGUGCCAAAGACGGAAAUGACCAAAGAUUUUUUGGACUAUGUGAAGACCAAUUAUACCAAGAUUGAUAAGGUAGAAAUGACAACUUAUUUGAAGCUACUCAUAACCACUAUGUAUGAUGGAGUAAGUGGGGUUAGAGAUCACAUCAUCAAGUUAAAACACUACUUCAACAAGGCAAAUGAGGUGAAAGUGGAGUUGAGUGAGAAAUUCUUGAAAUGGUUUAUACUUGAGUCUCUUCCUACUUCCUUUGAUGCGGUAAAGUUGACUUAUAUUGCCUUGAAGGAAGAGUGGACUCUGGAGGAGAUAUUGUCCAUUGUGGUGCAACAUGAAGUAUCACUAAAGAAAAAUGAGACUCACUCCCUUGCUCUUGUUACUGACCAAGUGAGCAAUAUGAAGAAAAAACCUCUACACAAGAAUUUUAGAGGCUCUAAGCAAUUCAAGAGGAAAGGCAAUUCGAGUCAAGGAACCUCUAAUGCAUCUGUUUCUUCUAAUGCUACAAAGAAUGAGAGAUUCAAGGGAAAGUGCAACUUUUGCCACAAGAUUGGCCACAAACAGGUUGAUUGCUUCAAGUUUUAAAAUUGGCUAGAGAAGAAAAAGAAAUGUGAAAUUAUGGUUGUGGUUAAUUUGAAUGCAAACAUGAUUGAGACUAAUAUUGUUGAUGUUCAUGCCAAUUCUUGGUGGUUAGAUACUGGUGCCACUAUUCAUGUUAUUAAUUCUUUGCAGAAGAUGACAAACAAAAAGAGGUCAUCAAAGCAUGAAAAAUGUGUGUAUAUGGGUGAUGGAAGCAAAGUGAAAGUAGAAUUUUUUGGCAUGAUAAAGCUAAGAUUGACCACAUAAAGUUUUUUCUUGUUACACAAUGUUGCUUACAUACCCUCACUUAAGAGGAAUCUGAUUUCUAUAUCUAUUUUGGAUAGACAAGGUUACACUUUCCACUUUGGAGGAGGAAAAGUGGAUAUUUUUAGCAACUUAGUUCUAAUUGGCAAUGCUAUUUUGUUUGGCAAUCUUUAUAGUCUCAGUUUGCAUCAUGGUCCCUUAUGUGAUUCAUCGUCUGUUAAUUCUAUUGUUGGUUGCAAGCAUGCUAGAAUGAUUUUGAGUUCUUCCAUGUUGUGGCACAAAUGCCUAGGUCAUAUUUCUAGGCAAAAAUUAGAGAGACUGGUUAGAAAUGGGGUUCUUUCUAAUCUUGAUUUCUCAGACUUCAAGACUUGUGUUUGCUUAAAAGGGAAGAUGACAACUAAGACCAGAAAUGAGAAGAUGGAUAAGUGUGGAGGUACUUUAGACUUGAUCCACACAUAUAUAUGUGGUCCUUUGACACCAACUGCUUUAGGGGGUUAUAAAUAUUUCAUCACUUUUAUUGAUGAUUUCUCUAGAUAUGGUUAUGUUGAACUAAUCCAUGAGAAAUCUGACUCCCUAAAUGUGUUUAAGGCCUUUAAGGCUAAGGUGGAGUUGCAGUUGGGAAAGCCCAUUAAAGUUGUGAAGUCUGAUAGAGGUGGUAAAUAUUAUGGGAGAUAUGAUGAGAUUGGAUGGAAUCUUGGACCAUUCACUAAGUUUCUGUUGGAAUGCGACAUUGAUGCUAAAUAUACAAUGCCAAACAUUCCUCAAUAGAAUGGGGUUGCAAAAAUGAGGAAUCGCACAUUGUUGGAUAUGGUAAGGUGCAUGUUGUCUAAUUCCUCCUUACCAGAAUUUAUGUGGGGUGAAGCCUUAAGGAUUGCGACAUAUAUUUUGAAUCAAGUGCCCAAUAAGUUUGUGCCUAAGACACCUUAUGAGCUAUGGUCAGGGAAGAAACCGAGUCUUCACCAUUUUCAUGUUUAGGGAUGUAAGGCUGAGGUUAGGCCAUAUAACCCAUAGUUAAAGAAACUUGAUCCUAAAACCAUUAGUGGUUUCUUCGUUGGUUAUUGCAUUGGAUCAAGGGGUUCUAGAUUUUGUUAUCCAUCUCAUACCACCUGGAUCAUUGAGUCAGACGGGACUGUAUACUUUGAAGAUGAAGUUAAUGUUGAUCCCAAUUUUAUGCCUCGUGAGAUACCUUUUGAAGAAGAGUAUUUUAUAAUUCUUUUUCCUACAUCUCAUGUUCCAAAUGUGGAUGUUCCUAUUGUCCAAUAGCCGGCCACUAAUCAAGGAGAGCAUGGUAAUCAAGUAGAACCUGACAUUCCUAUUGAUGGUCUGUUGUUGAUGAGAUUCAUUUGAGAAGAUCGCAGAGGGUUCGUAGGCCAGCUAUUUCAGAUGAUUACAUGAUUUAUUUGCAGGAGCAUGAGUAUGAUGGUUAUGAUGCUUAUGAUCCAGUCAUUUAUCAAGAAGCAAUUCAUUGUCCUUAAUUCACUUCUUGGAAAUAAGCCAUGGAUGAUGAAAUGAACUCUAUGUAUAUGAAUGGUGCUUGGGAUUUGGUCGAAUUGCCACAUGGUUGUAAACCAGUUGGAUGCAAGUGGGUCUUUAAGAUCAAACGUGAUUCCAGCGGGCAAAUAAAGAGAUAUAAAGCUAGACUUGUGGUUAAAGGUUAUAGUCAAAGAGAAGGAAUUGAUUUUAAAGAAACAUUCUCACUUGUGUCAACCAAAGACUCUUUUAGAGUGACUAUGGCCAUAGUAGCUCAUUUUGAUUUGGAGCUACAUUAUAUGGAUGUUAAGACAACUUUCUUGAAUGGUGAUCUGGAUGAGGACGUGUAUAUGGAGCAACCUACUGGUUUUGCAAAAGUUGGAAAGGAAGAUUUAGUUUGCAAGCUCAAUAAGUCAAUUUAUGGUCUUAAACAGGCUUCAAGGCGGUGGUAUCUAAAGUUUGAUAGGAUUAUCACCCAAAAUGAUUUUAAAGAGAAUAUAGUUGAUAGAUGCAUAUAUUUGAGAGUCAGCGAGAGUAGUUACAUAUUUCUUGUUUUAUAUGUUGAUGGUAUACUACUCGCAUCAAAUGAUUCUAACUUGUUGAUUGACACAAAGCACAUGUUGUCAACCCAUUUUGACAUGAAGGAUCUUGGUGAGGCUUAUUAUGUUUUGGGCAUAAAGAUUCUUCGUGAUAGGGCUAAUGGGGUGCUUAAAUUGUCUUAAAGAACCUAUAUUGAGAAGAUAUUGAAGAGGUUUAAUAUGCACAACUGUAAUUCUACUAGAAUGCCAAUUGUGAAGGGUGAUAAGUUUUCAAAGGCUUAGUGUCCUCAAAAUGAUGAUGAGAAAGAGGAAAUGAGAACCAUUCCUUAUUCAUCUUUGGUUGGCAGCCUUAUGUAUGCUCAAGUAUGUACACGCCCUGAUAUUGCUUUUGUUGUCGGCAUGUUGGGAAGGCACUUGAGCAAUCCUAGGAGUCAGCAUUGGAAAGCUGCUAAGAAGGUCCUUAGGUAUUUGCAAGGAACUAAGGACUUAAUGUUGACAUAUCAGUGCACCAACAUACUUGAUGUAGUUGGAUUUUAUGAUGCUAAUUUUGUUGGCUACAUAGAUGAUAAGAAAUCCACUACAAGCUAUAUUUUUGUGAUGGCAAGAGGAGUUGUAUCUUGGAAAAGUGUCAAGUAGACACUUACAGCAUCCUCAACUAUAGAGGCAGAGUGUGUGGCAUGUUGUGAGGCUUGUUUUAUAUGGAUGCGGAAUUUUAUUUCAGCUUUAGGAGUUGUUGACUCCAUUUCUAGACCGCUAAAAUUAUUUUAUGAUAAUUCCGCAAUUGUUGCUUUCUCUAAGAACACUAUGAGUACUUCUCGCUCCAAGCAUAUUGAUGUAAAGCUCUAUUUUGUUAAGGAGAAAAUGGCAGAGUCUCUUAUUGAUAUUGAGUACAUGUCCACAAAAGGUAUGUUGGCGGAUCCACUAACAAAAGGCUUACCCAUAGUUGUGUUUCAUGAACAUGUAUCUCAAAUGAGGUUGUUGGGAGCCUAGGUUGUAUUAAGUUAGUGGGAGCCAUUUUUGGUAUUGUAAUAUUAUGUUAUUAUUGGAAGAAUUGUUAUUAUUGUAUAUUUCCUUGUGAAUCAAGCAAUGAAGCAUGUAUGAUUGCUUUUGAUUAUUUGUUUUAAUGAGAUUCUAUGGGACAUUGAUUUAUGAUUAUGUAAAUGUUGUGUUGUUUGAUUAUGUAGUCCAAGUGGGAGAAUUGUUGGAAUUUUUUGUGUGGACUUACAUAAUCAAUGUGAUAAUGUCAUAAAUCAAUGUUAUUUUAUUUUUGCAUUGUGGUGCAUAAUGGGGCUGGACACAUAUUAUUGCUUGAUUUUUUAUGGGCGGUGCUAAUUCACUUGACUGACCCAUUAAGUCAAGUGGUCCAAAUAAUGUGUGUUAUAUAUGAAUAUAUUUAUUUAUAUAUAUUCAUAUAAGUGCAAAGGAAAGGGCAAGUCUUCUCUCCUACUUGGGGGGGCUGAAAAGGGCACGCACUGCACGCACUCUUGAGAGCACACACUUGGACCGAAUCUUGGGGAGAAAAGGGAAGAGCUCAUUGAACCCGGAUUCACACACCAUCACGGACUGAGCUUCUUCUUGAACACUAGUGGAGCACGAAAUGACUUUCCAUGACAUUAAUCAAGGUGAGCAUUUCAUUUAUUGUCAUUUAAUGCAUGCUUUAAUGUCUACAUGUGAUCCUAUGUUGUUUAAAUUUUCAUCAUAAUGUUCUUUAUGAUAUAGUGAAAAGAUUCUCUCAUCCGUGAAUAUAGGUAUGAUUAAUCGAAUCACGUUAAAACCUAAGUGUACCUUUGUAUUGAUUGUUUUUAUCUUUGUUUUCUUGGUCUAACAUUGUUGAUAUCAAGGCUUCCGCUAGUGCGAUAGAAAAAUGACGAUUUUGUUUAUCUCUUGUACUUAUUCUCUAUAAAUGCACAAACACAAAUUCUAACAUAAGAAAUGGAAAUGUCUAACAGCUCAAAAUGUUGAAAUGUUGAGCUAAACAAGGAAUUAGUGGAAUGGAAAUGCAACACUUUUAAAUAUGUUUAAAAGUGGUUUAGUUAUAUAUAUUAAAGCUUUUAUUAAAAUGGAAAAGUGUUAAUCAUAUGGAAAGAAAAACAUUCAGUCUUUUAAUAAUGCUGAUCAAAUACUUUGGAUUUGGUACAUAAAACACAGACAAAGACAAGAUAGAAACAAGUGGUCUUUUUGAACCCGUUAAGAAAAUGAUAUGGGAGACUCAUUCCCAGGAAAAGGCCAAUGUUCUCUUCUAAAUAAAGCCAAAUGGUGGCAUAUAUCUUAUCGUGAAGGGAAGCAAUAUCUGGAAUCCCAUUCUUAUCUCUCUUUCACAACAAUGUCAAGAUCCUCUUCUUGAUUGGUAAAUUUUAUUUACUUAUUUCACUCUAAAAAAAUUGGGAAGGUUAGCUUGAACCCUCCAGUGUCAGGACUCUCUUCUUGCUUCACUGGGGGACUUUGAAUGGAUGAUGUUAAAACUGGGAGAAUAUGCUUCUCCAAUAUCUUUUCCAGGUUUGAUGCUAGGGUUGCCUUGUGGGGCUCCGAAUCAGGGAAAUUGUCUUUUGUGACCAGGAGGCUCGUCCAUGUGUACUGGCUUCAAAAAAAUAGGAUGGGGCAGCAAGUUUCCCACAUAAAAAAUAAGUUCUCCAGUAAUAACAGUGGACCUGACCAACACAGCAUACUCAACACAAAUAGAACAACUCAAACCACCACAAUUAUAUCAGACCAGACUCCUUUGAUCAAUUAAUUGGGCAAUAGUUCAAGUAUUUAACAAUUGAAGCUGACAGAAACAGUUGUAAGGAAAUAUAUUGUCAUUUUCGCAAGUCUCCAUGACACGGAUGAGAAAAUUCUAAGGGGGUGUAACAAGAGUUCCACGUUAGUAUAACAAAAAAGAUGGAAAAAAGGAAAUGGGAGAAGGAUGGCCAGGCAAUCGAAAUGUGCAGUUCUAGCAAAGGUCGCCAAUGUGACAUAAAUGUGUACUUCUAGCACAUUCCUGCAAACAGAGCAAACACAACAAAAUUAAUUGAAGAGUACAGCACCCUGAGAACCAGUAGAGUACAUAUGAUUCCGAAAUUGAAAACACUUCUCAAGUAUACCUACUUUAAUGGUAAGUAUGAUUGAAGACAGAUAAAUAAGUUUGCCAAUUGAUGCCAAAAUUCAGCUGUGCUUCGCUCUCCUCCAUUCAACAAAGUUGUCCAGGAUCAAGGGCCAAGCAAGUUCCGGAUCAUAAUUACGAAGGUCAGGGAAACUUAUCUGUGAUCCAAAUAAAAAAUAAAAAAUUAUAAAAUCAGGAUAUCUUCAUACCUUAUUGAAGGACUGGUGAACCAAAUAAAGUUAUAACUUGAGGAGGAAAAAGGAUAACAGUUUACCAUGAUGUUAUGACUGGAGAUCAAAACACAAUUAGAAUGGAUUGCUUCUACAGAUUAAAGGUCAUUUUUGGAAAGCUAAACUCCAAAUAAGGGGAUAGACAAAAAAAAAGGGGUUUUGCUUUUAGUAUGUGUUAGUUUGCCUGCUAUAUGCCAUAUGUUUUCAUUAUAAUACUGUUGCUUAUCUUCAGGUGCAUCAUGUGUGCCAGAGUAGCAGCCUAUGAUAAAGAACACAAACAUAAUGAAAUGUGAUCAAGAGAUUUUGGAAAAGUAAUUAGAUCAUUGAAUACCUCAUUGCAAAAUCGGAAAAAGCCCAUCCACUGGUCCAUGUUAAUGACUUUGUAAUCAUUCUGUGUCUGCAUCCAGGAAUAACAACAUUUUAAUAAGAUUUUUGUCUUUUGUAACUUCUUGCUCAUACUUGAAUGAAAUGGAAGUGAAGUUGAUGGUUCAAGAAAUAUAAAAUUUGCAUUUUAUAUAAAUUUUUUGUUCCCCUCUAUCAUAAGACUGAAACUCUCCAGGUUAACAAUCAUAAUGUGCUACAUCACAAGGUGCACGACCUCCUGUCUUUCCACCUAUGACCCCACUGGAACAAAGCCAGGGACCAUCGGAAAAAAAAUAGAAUUUAUUGGAGGGUAAACCCAAGCAGUUACACUCAAAUUGAAACAUUCCACAUAUAACACAACUACUGACCUUUAGAUACUCAACAAAUGAGUCAACCUGGGCUUGGAAUUGAGAUCCUAAAACAAGAUCAAGCAAUUCGCAGAUGCUUUCAAUGUCGAUACUCUUUUGUUUCUCCUCUGAGGGAAAAGACUAAGUUAUAAGCAGUACAAAUGAGGUAAAAGGCUAAGUUCUCCAAAUCAAGGCUACACAUGCAUCCAUAGACUUGUUAUACCUGUUAAGCAAUACUGAAAUGCAUAGGAAUAGAAGUCCACAAAAUUUGAUGGCCUCCUGACCUUUUUUAGUAGAAAAAGAAAAGGAGACAAAAAAAAAAAAAAAGAGGAAAUAUUAGUAUUUAUACAUCUCUCUCAUUAUGAGGCAUCCAACCACAAACUUAUCAUAUUCUCAGUUCAAAUAGGUAGCCACUUAGAAUCUCAUACCUCUUUCUCCAAUUCAGGGAGUGCUUUCUUCAAUUUGCUUACAGUGUCAGUUCGCAGAGCUUUGAGGCCUCUGCGCCACUCCUCCUAUUAAAGUUAAGAUUGGAGGUGCCAUUUCAGAAAGCAAAUAACCUUAAACAAGGGAAGAACAAGAAACAAGAAAUCCAAGGUGUCUUGAUAAGCUAUGCAAUAAAAUGUAGUUUCAGAAGCAUGAAGGAUUAGGAAGAUAGAGAAAAAUGAAGAGAAACUGAAAAAAAAAAAAAAAGAGAGAGAGUGUUUGUUCUGCAGGUAUCUUCUGCAAAAUCUUCUCUUUCUCACAAGCAACACAAGGAAGAAGCUCUCAACAAGAAAUAUAACCUAAACCAAACCCCAAUAAAUUCAAUUCAGCACAACCAAAACCUUUAAUCCCAACCAUUAGGGAUUGAUUAACAAAAAAUUAUCACCAUUUAUCUCUUUAAUCUUGGGUCAUCUCCUCCAUCAAUCAUACUCAAUCGUGUCUUUUCUCAUAAGCUCAGCUCAGAUUCCAUUUAGGCCUUUGCCUUGUAGCACAUUCAGUAGCAAAACCACAGGUCCAUCCCAUUGCUUCAUUGGUCUUCUUAAUACAGAGCAGACAGAUUGGUAUACAUUUAUGGCUUGAUAGCAUGCCUAGCAAAUGGCAGUAAAUCAUAAUAAUCACAUAGCAUGUCCAGUCAAAUCCCUACUGGGAUGGGUUAAAGGUUUUUGGUUGGGAUAAAAUAUUCAUACACAUCAGUUGCUGGGCAGUGUAGAGACCAGCGAUUAAGUCAGGUUCCAAUUUAGGUCAUUCCAUCCCAGCCCUGGCUCUACAAUCAAUGUCUAAGUUACAUGAACACUUUAAAGUGUGAGAAAUAUAUUUUAUACACAUGAUGCGACAAGGUUUUUGGUACAGGAUAUAUGCCCAGCAUUCCCACAAGUCAGAUUUGUUCUUCACAAAUGUGUUCAACAAAGAAAAAGAACAAAUUUCCAUCACAUUUGAAGUGAGUUUGUUUCUUGUUGGUUAUAUACUUCAAUCUGACCUACAAUAUACUUCAAUCUGCCAGCCAGGCCAAUGCCCAACACUUCUACCAGAGCCCAUGUGACAUGGCUCAACAUUACUGGUUGCUUUCUGGUCUUCCUGUAACCAAUGGUACACUACAAAUUAUGUGAAGUAAACAUCUCAACAUGACUUAACAAUGGCUUUGGCACAUAAUACGCAUUCGACAUGUCUACUAAUCACAUGUGAUUGCUGUUAAACAAAAUACAUGAGCUUAUGUACAUCAAUAUUUGUUACUGACAUAAACAUCCAUAAGUAAUGUCUUUGUAUACAGAACAUCCCUGGGUAAUUGCAUAAAUUUAUGGAUUACAUUCACAACACAGAAAUGCAAAGACAAAUACAAAAUAGAUUGAAAACAUAGAAAUAUAAGGAUAAUAAGUAGAUUGAUUGACCCAUAAGACAGUGAAAUGAACAUGAAUUGAAGGCAGAACAUCGCCACCAUUCACCAGUGAUUUUUCCCAAUAAGAGUAUUUCUGAGAUCUACUAAGUUUCAAGAAUUCUUCAAUAUCUAGAACAGAUUUCAACUACAAUAAGAACACCUCUUUCUUAGACUAAGCGACUUCAAAACCUAAAAUAUCACUUAAAAGUCCUAAGCUUAUAUUUGAAUUUUCUUUUCAAAGAUAAUCCUUGAGCCAAUGAAUUCUUGUGAUUCAUUUCCCAUCGCCUAAGUUCCAUGGGCAUGGAUAAAAACAUUUCUGCUGAGACUAAGUUUCUACAAGUCUGAUCCAUUUAAUAUUCAAAUUUUAACAUGGGCACACAACUCAAUAUUCAAAAAUAUGGGAAAGUGAAGCUUCUACUUAAUAUAACAUGUCAAAACAUGGAUGCUCUUUUAUUUUAUAUCCAUUUGUAACACAGAAUAUAAUUAUUAAAGUAUCCUUCUCCAGGGGAUGUACUAAUGCCUCUAUGGUCAGGGAUAAGAUGAGGCGAACUGGGAAAUUAUGAAUGCAUGAGUCUAAAUCUUAAGCUUUGAAGCAUCUAAGUGCAGGGAAUGAACAUCAACUGAAUGAAAUGGAGGACAAUUUUACAGUUGCUGGUUUUGCCAACCUUGUAGCUCCAUGAUACUUGUAACUACUUUCUUUUACUUUCAUCUGAUGUUAUAAAAUAGGUACUUCUUAAAUUUGCUAUUUUGCAUGGUCCAAGUGCAGGUAUCAGAUACAGAUAUGUGUCUAGUAUCUAAUCCUUCAGGCCUACAAAUUUUAAGGUAUGGGGACUCAACAAAAAAGAAUCACAAUAACAAGCACAAAAAGGAAAUUUACUUAGAAAUCAAUUAAAAGCAAAAAAUAUCAUCAAGAACUCCUCGUAUUUUCCCUUUUAUCCCUUUAUUCCUUAUCCCUAAAUACUCUUAUCAAAGCUCACUUUCUAGAAAACUUCUUCUUUUCCAAAGUAAUCUUCUACUAAGGAAGUUAAGGAUAAAAAUUGGGUUAAUUUCACUCACCUCCCCUCGGGUUUUGGCUAAAUACACUUGAACCCUCACUGGUUUCAAAUUUCAUCAAAUACCUCUUAUUUUGAGUAAGAGGAGAGAUGAGUGAAAAUAACAAAUGAAAAGAAUAAGGGAGGUGUUCGAUGAAAUCCCAAGCCAGUGGCAACUAGAUGUAUUUAGCCAAAACCUCAAAGGAGGUGAAUGAAAUUAACCCUAAAAAAUUCAAUCAACCAAAAUCAAGCAAAUAGCCAUAUUUAAAGCAAACUAAGAGUAUCGGAAAAAAACCAUGCACCCCUACCCAUAGUUGUUAACUCAUAAAACAUAUAUGUAUUGCUUUUUAAUUUUUGAUAUAGUGAAAAAUAAAUAUAAAAAAUCUGUACACGUGCAUAUAGUUUGGAAGUAUGAAGUAAAGAGUAAUGUAUAACUAAUUUCAUGAAAGAUAGUGAGAUCUAAAGAAUUAAUUAUAUCAUAACAUAUGAAAACAUUGAAUAAUAGAGUUUUAAAAAGUUCAAUUUAAUAAAACAUGAGUUUAAUAUAUAGGUUCAUCACAAAAUCCACAAAAAUAAACUUUUUUAAUUUUUAGAUUUGAGUUUUAGUUCCAAAUUCUACCUAAGCAUAUGUGUUUAUAUGUGUUUUAUAUAUGUGUCUCUACGUGUCAUCUCCAAAGUUCCACCUUUUAAUGUUCAUCAUCAUUCCUUUCCCAUAGAAAUAAGAAAAAAAUUUCCAAAAAAAAAAUAAUAUCUUAAAUAAAAGUUUUUAUUCAACUAUCACCAUCAUAUUAUGUCAAUAUUCAAAUAAUUCAAAUGAAAAUUUUUUAAUAUUCAUUGUGAAAAUAAAUUUACUUGACUUUCACUACGCCCUUUGAAAACAAGAAUGUAACUUUUCAUAUAGGAUUAUUUUACCUCUCUCUUUUGUGAUCAAUUUCUAACCUUUUUGUAUAUUUUAAACAAUUUCUUUAAUAAUUAUUUUAAUAAACAAAAAUUUUGGAUUUGAUUUCUUUUGAAAAUUAGAAAAAAAAAAGUUGAUGGUGUAUGUAUCAUUGUAUCACAUCAUGUAUCAUAAGUUUUUAAUAACUAUGUCCCUUCCCAUGGUAUCAUGUCGACAUGGCUUCACUUGAAGUUGGAAACUCCAUGUAUCAUAGGAGGUUGUAAUUAACCACUUUUAAUUGUACAAUUAGAUCCACAUGGAGAUUAAGAUUUAUGUACCUUUGAGUCCAGGUGAUAGCAUAAGGGUCUAGUUUGGACUCCCAAGCCAUCACUAGUAGCUAGCUGAAAUCCCCUCUAUGGAAUUUCCGAGAGAGCUAUAAGCCAGCCAGAGAACAUGAUUUUUCUUUUGUGUCAAUCAGUUACAGUCUUCAAAUAAUCUUCAGAGGCAGGUGAACCUGGUGAAUUCAAAGCUCCUACAAGUAUAGUCUUGCAUGGUAUUUUACAUCCCCUUUCCUGUCUAAUUGUUACUGAUGCUAUCAAAUAUCAAUCAAGAAUUUGCUGGAUUUUGAGCAUUUCAUUUUGACCAUGCCCCUAACCUUGUCGAUUAGUUUAACCAUGCGAGUGUGUUCUUUGCAAUGAGAUAUAUUGAUGGACUUGCAGGCAAAUGGGAAAAAGAGGUACAAAGUUUAUAUGUGAAAGAGGCAGGACAUGCCACAUUGCAUCCACAUAUUGCAAUGCAAUAAAAUGGGGAGAACCAGCAGAUGCAAGAGAUCUGAAUGCGCUUAGAAAUUAAAAAUGCAUUGGACAAUCAUCAAUUGCUUUCUUGGCCCACCACCUCGCCCCUCUGAAAAGGAGAUAUAGUUGGAAUUGAAUUUUAAAAAUGCAAUUUAAAACCCAUAUCCUUCUAUAUUCUUUAACAGUUAAAGAAGUGGAAACACAAAUCCCUGUCCCAGUCAGGCACAGCACAGAGUGGCAAGCAAAGGAGAAAGAUAUGUCUUCACAAUCUUCUCAUCUCAAGCAACAGUAUUGGAAACACAAACUUCAAAAAUAAAAAUAAAUACAACUUGGAAAAGAUUAAAACUCAAAAUUCUGUAUCUAUGACUAAAUUCAGUUUGAUGCUUUGACAACAAAAAAAACUGAUAUUUUCAAGAAUUGGAUUGCUAUGAAUAUGGCAUAUAGUGAAAUUGCAUGAAACAAAGAUAAAUAGGACAAUUAGAUAACAAGUAGAUAAAUGAGCUGAAUAGUAGCUUCCCGAGAAAAAGGAUAAGUCAGUACUCAAUAAAGACAGAAAAGAGAUUCAUUUAUUGAGCUUCCUGAAGUUGAUGGAACAUGAGACUGAUGUUGCUUACCAAUGUAAAGUAACCCUGCUUUUCAGCUUUCAUCUUCCUGACAUGUGCAGUCCAGCAGUUACAAGAUAUAAGCUCAGGGUCCAUAGGAAGAAAGUGAGAAAACCAAUUUACCAAAAUAGAAUUUACCAAGCAAGCAUCAAUAUCCUGACAUCAGUAUGAUCAACUUCCACAUCUGAACAAAGAACCUCAAUGCCUUCUGGGCUGUUAAAGAAAGUAGCAGAGAUCAGAAACAUACUUGCAUAUAUCAAAAGUGCACCAGGAAAGAACUAAAUGUGUACUUGCACAUGAAGGAAUAUGUUGCUUCCUAAUACAAUUACCAGGAGCUUUUUGCUCAAUACUCCAACUUUCACACUACCAAAGAUGUAAUGAACACAAUUCAACCAUUUGUCAACUAUAAUUAAAUUUUUUAAACGAAAAAGUAGAAAACAAUUAUCCUUUGGUCUUUUUCUCUUUUUUUUUUUAUUUCUUUACCAUUUGUUUGCCUACAAUUAUCUUCUCUCUCUCUCUCUCUCUCUCUCUCUCUAUAUAUAUAUAUAUAUGUAUAUAUGUGUAUAUAUAUAUGUAUAUAUAUAUAUAGUUAGAUAGAUAGAUAUAGCUAUAGAUAUAUAUAAAUAUCACAAACUCUAAAAUUGACAAAAAAAAAUUACAAGAACUCCUGAGAGUUUCUACUUCUUCACUCAAAUAGUUUCUUCCUCCCUCUUCAUGAGCUCCUGUCCCUCAAGAAAAAAGUUCAUACACAAAGAACCCAUAAAAAUAUGCCUAUAAUAUGUUCAACUUAAAUUUCAUAAUAUCCAAAACAAAAACAACAUGAAACUAUGCUAGCCUUAUAUUCAUACAAAGACCAUUUCCUUUUGGCAGUUACAAGAGCCACAAUCACGCACAAUGAAUAAUUUCGGAUUUCACACCCCAUCAAAGUUUUGAGGACAAAACCAUGUUGUUAUGAUAAAUUUACCAGUCAUCUUAUUCAAGUUACAAUCAUAAAAGAGUUUUGUUAGACUAUUAGCCCAAAAGCUUAUGUUGUUCCACAAAAUAGGGUCCAUCCCCAUUUGGAAUACAGCAAAAUGGUCUAAGAGGCCUGGGCCCCUAGGUCCUUACACAAGCUAAAGACCCCUUCAAUUUGAAAUUUGAAUGCCUCAGGCUCUUUUGGCCUCCCCAAAUCUACUUCCCCCUUCAGAGGAGGGAGCUUUCGGCUGAAACCUGCAGCAACAACCCACCAUUUGGACCACCAAACCCCAGCUAUAGGCUAUCUUGCAGCCCACUCUCUGCUGCUGUGAGAACCCACUCAUUUCCUUUUCUGAAGAGUUCUAACACUUAACUUCCAGGAAGCCAACAGAAGCACUCCACAACAUGGGCUCUGAUUAAUCUGAAAUAUGGAUAAAAUAGCAAUCAGAACCCGGGCUUGGAGAAUGGGACCCUGGGAAUCUGCCUGAUCUCACCUAUCACAAGCAGUCUCACCCAACCAAGGUUAGAUUUCCAAGUUGUGGUUUCAUUCACAGCCCAAAAUUCACCAUUAAGAUCACUAACAACCAUAGAGUCCCUACACCAGAAAUGAACAGGCCCAGCAGGUUAUCUAGUCCAGUUCUCAGAAACCCUCCUUCAUUCCCUAGCUGCCUCAAAAGAAGUCUAAUGGCCUAAGACAUAAAAUUAUCUCCAAAAUAAUGAUUCCCUUUCUUAUGAACCUAAAUGGAAAAAGCAGGGGAAUGCAACUUGAAAAGAAAGUAGGCCCAUGCAGAGCAAAAAGCUCAAUAUCCCUACACACUUUCAAAGAGGAAGAUGCCCAAACCUUCACCAACCCAACAUCCAGUGUAGGGUCCAACAUGUAACCCCAAUAUCUCAUCAAGAAGCAAUUCAAAUCCACUGCUCUCUCCAAACAAAAUUCAAUGCAUCAAAAACAUCAUACAUGCCACCCUACCUCCAGGACACUUUUUAACACUGACCUCCAAGUCACCCAACCACUCCAUCACACCUAGAACCACAAAAAACCAUGGGUUGGGACUCCCUUGGAUGCUAGACCUCUGCCAACUUUCUUCCCACAACCUUCCCUUUACCUUUGCAACCAACUUUAAGAAAUUUGCCCUUCAUCUUCAGAGCCACUAAAGCACAGCAGAGAGCAAAGCAAUGUUCCAGGAAAAUAAAGAUGUACCUCUUAUCUUCAUUAUACAACACAAACAAGAGGAGGUAACACUCUCUAUCAUUCAUUAAUAGAUCUUAUCUAUACAAUUGAUCCUCUUCAAUAGGAUUGCAAAUAAGAUGCUCCUCUUUCUGCAACUCAAGCUUUCUCAAAACCCUCAAAAAACUGCCCAAUGCCUUUCCUAUCCAACUUCAACUAUUUGGAUUAAUAUUCGAACAUCAAACCUCAUUUUGAAUAUACUAAUGUUGUUCUAACCUGAUAUACUCUCCAAGUGGACUCUCCAAAAGGUUAUGACACACUAAUUCCCUUGGUUCUGCAAACAAUGUCCUGCUCUCUUUGUACGGGAGAACAAAAUGAGAGAAUCUAUUUAAAAGAACAAAAAGAAAAAGAGAGAAAAAAAAAAAAAGCAUUUUCCUUGAAAAAUGUUAAGAUGAUAAAUCUUCAAGCACAAGAAGCACCACAACAAGAUUCAAGACUUUUCAAUAAUUCAUCCCAUGCACCUUCCAUGGAAACAUGAGAACAACCUACCAUACCUAUUUUCCAGACAUGGUUAGGCCAUAAAACAUCAUGAAAUUCACUGUCUAUCAACAGUUGGUGUUUGAAGGAAGAGACCAUCAAGGAGACAUUCCUAGCCCAAGAAGGAUGCCUAUGCAGUUGUUACCUGUUGUUAUACAAAUAUCAGCUUUUGGUUUCAAAAGUGACCUCAAUAACUGUUGUUAUACAAAUAUCAGUUUUUGGUUUGGAAAACACAACCCCAUGCAACUGUUUCUAGUCUCAAUACUUUCAGUUGCUUCCUGCUAAUUGCUCAUGUGAAAUUACAAACUCAAGAAAGAUGUCCCUAUCUAUAAUGAAACUAAGCACUUCACUAGAAUCUAAAUGGAAAACAUAGCUACAGAAAAAGCAAAAAGAGAAUCUUUUUCAACAUACUUAUCACAUAAAAUAGAGUAUCAUGCAUAGUGAAAUCUAAAAAAUUAUAAAAUACCAACUGCAAUUUUUAACAAUAUAAAAUUCAAUUAUCAGUGCCAUCAACAGGAUCAUACAGUUCAUCACAGUAGACUUACUCAAUCAGAUUGGAUGACCUAUUCGCAUAUGAAUAAAAUAGUUGAUCAAUUCGUUCCAACUCUUUGCUUGUAGCCUUACUUGAAGCUGAAAAAAUGAGACUAAAUAGUCAGAACCAUGGAGGUAAGACACCCUCAAGUGUUUAACAGACUAGAAGAUGAUAUUGAGGUAAAGAAAUUUGUGAAAGCAGUUGAGCCACAAAUUUUCCAUUUGAUGGGUCCCAAUCACAAUAGGAAAACAGGGGUAAAACAACAUUGAAUAACAAUUAAUAAAUUUGUAAGUCAUCAGAGUAUAAGUUUAAAAUGCACAAAGUCAAGAAGCACGAUUCUAUAUUCAAACAACUCGCUAAAAGGAUUUCUUGUCAUCUGUUUAUCAGACUUCUACCACUAAGGAAUCUGUGGGUUUUGCUUAUGAGAUCUAGGGUCAUACCUAGAUUCCAAAAAUUAAAACAAAUUGUAGUAGCCUGCAUUUGGUUAGUCAAAAAUUCCGACUCAAUUUCACUUCCUUUUUUUUUUUUUUUUUUGGCUUUUGUUUGAAGAUCACAGGACAAAGAAAUCAAUCCAAGAUUCUUGAUUUAGGGUCUUCCAAUUAAAAUGCGGAUUUGGAAUUGAAACUUCAAUUUCAGGCAAUCUAAUAGGAACUUUACAGACAAUCCUUCCGGAGAUUCCUUCCAUCUCUUUACUUAUCAUUUCAAAACUCAAACAACCUAAUAAAAAAUUCCACAUAACAAAAUCAGAGCUUGCACUUCAAUUCAUCAAUCAGAAACCCAAAAAUAACACCAAAAUAAAUGAAACAAAUCUAAACCCACUUGCUAUUAAAAAAAGAAAGAAAAGAAAGAACCCAAGAAAACAAAAUAUUAAUAAAUCAAGUCAGAGAGAGACGAGCCACCAGAGCGAAAAAGAUCGGUGGCAGAUGAAUUAACCGACGCGGCGGAAUUGGACUGACCCGUUUUCCUGGUAGAGGAGCGACGCAUCUUCGAAAAUUGUAGAGAGAGAAUGAGAGGGAGGCAGGUGUGGAGAGAGAAUGAAAAGCAGGAAAACCAGAGCGCGACUAAAACGACGUCGCUCUGAGACUUGGGGUUGCGUCUCUGUCUCUGGUGCCUUUGUUUUCUUUUUGUUUCUUGUUUGCUUGGACAGUGGUGGGUAUGAGGUAAUCAACUCAUACCAAGUGACGUCUUCCUCAAGUCCUUAGAGUUUAUAUAUAUUGAGAAAAAAUAAAAAGGCAAAAAAUGAGUUUUCAUACUAUAAAAAUAAUCACAAAAUAAGAAAUAUAAAAAAUAGUACUUAAAAUGGUCAAAUGUAACAAUUAUAUCAUUAAAAAGUAGUAUCUAAGUGAUCAAAGAUAGCCUUUAACCAAAAAAUGCAUGCAUAUUAAUUAUUUUUAGAUAGUUGUUUGAAAUUUGUAUUUUAUAAAUUGGAGUUCCUAUUUUAUGGUUUUUUUUUUCCAUAAUUGUAUGAAAACACACGUUUUCUAAUAAAAAUUAAUUAAAACUCAUAAAAAUAUAAUAAAAUUAAAAUAAUAAAAAAUAGCAAUACAUCAUAUUGAAGUUUUUUUUGAAAAUAAUAUAUAUAUAUUUAUGCAACACCCAAAACCUGCCCUAAACACACCUAACAUCAGCUAACAAUGGGCUCAAACUAAGAUCGCCUCUAGGCAUACCGCAACACCUAGGAUAGAUUAAAAACUUAAAACAAACCCAAUUUCCCUUCUCGUGGCUUUGAUACCAUUUCACCCUAGGACUUUAAUAACUCCAACUCUACUAGGCUCUGAACUCGGCUACCUAUACAACCAUAGAGAGGGAAAAACGUCAAGAGCAACAAAAGGUACCUAUCAGAGACAUAAACAACCCACGUAACAGGAAUUGUCAUCACCAGUUGGCGGACAGCCCUACUUCGCUUCAAUGACCUCUAGGUCAUGGGUGAGAGUUCCCACUAGUGUCACGCCUAAGACUAGAAUGUCAAUGAAACAAUAGUAAGAGCUUCACCCUUUAAGACCAAGAUGGAGGAUAAAGGAAUUGCUAGUGCAAUAAACUUUAAGAAAAUUACGGAACAAAAUAACUACACUAACAUCUUUCUUAAGACUCUAGGAGAUCAACUUAAUAGAGUUGAAAAAAUAGUUGAAACUCAAGACCACAUUAAGACAAAUUUUGCGAAAAAGGAUAAUAAGCCUUUAUUUAUGUCGUUUGAACUCUCUAAAAAAUUCCAAGAAAAUCUAUUUGUGGAUCAAGAUUUAAUAAAAAGAAUAAGUGAAAAGGUAAAAGAAAGUUUAAUUGUCCCUGAAACACCACAACCGUCUUCUCAUAGGAGAAUUAAUGCUAUAGAUGAAGAAAUUAGUUCUAAAGCUGAGGCAGAUGAACUAAAUAAGAUUUUUAAGAAAUUUCAAGAAUUUUUCAUAACCAAGAAACCCCUAAGACUAGAAAUUUUAAUCCUAAGCCAAUCUUUCCUGAUAUACAGUAUGAGGAAAGAAACCAAUAUACUCAAGCUUCUUAUACAAGUGGUACCAUUUAUGAAUGGAAUAUAGAUGGAAUGACUGAGUAUAAUAUACUCACAAAACUUCAAGAAAUGACCAUGGUAGCACAACCUAUAACUUAAACAAUAGACUGUUAAAUCAUACUGUAGCUCAAACACUUGUUGUUGGGUUUACAGCUCAAUUAAAAGGACGGUGGGAUAACUAUUUCACACAAGAUGAUAAGAAUGUUAUCUUAAAAUCCUAUAGAAUAAAUGAAAACAAUGAAAUCGUUAAGGAUGAAGAAGGAGAAGAUAUAGAGGAUGCAAUGACUACUCUAAUAUUUUUAGUCUCGAAGCACUUCAUAGGUGACCCAUCCAAAAUUAAGGAUAAGAUUGCAGAUCUCUUAACCAACCUUAAAUGUCCUAAGCUCCGUGACUUUAGGUGGUACAAGGAUAUGUUCCCAACCAAAGUCAUGUUAAGAUUAGAUUGUAAUCAAUCUUUUUGGAAAGAAAAAAUUAUUUUGAGAUUACCUACAUUUUUCUCUGAAAAUAUUAGGAUUAAGAUAAGUGAACAAUUUAAUGAACUCAUUCCCUAUGAUAAAUUGACAUACAUAGAAAUCAUAAGUAUAAUCACUGCAAAAGAAAUUAGCCUUGCAAUGAUUUUAAGCUUAAACAACAAAUGAAGUUUGAACAAAAGAUCUACAAAAACGAGUUUGAUACUUUUUAUAGUUAGUUUGGAUUUAGUCAAAAGGAAACUAAACCUCCUUCUAAGCAACGUAAGAAAAGACAAGUAGUAAGAAAACCCAGUAAAGAAACUUUUAUCACAAUAAGAGAGGAACUCAUGGAAAAAAACAGAAUGAAUGAAACAAAAAGGUCAAGACACAUCCAAAGAAGAAUGAAUAGAGAACCUCAUACGAAGAUAGAAACCCUUACACACUCUAACCUAGUUUGUUUUAGGUGUAGUAAGGUAAGACACUUUAAGAAAGACUGUAAGGUUAAGAAGAAAAUUAAUAACUUGAACAUUUUAAAUAAGUUAAAAGACAUGUUAUGUGAACUAAUGUUAAACACUUCAGAAUUUGAGUCUAUGACUGAGUCAGAUAACCAAUAUGACAGAAAUCAACUUCAAGACACUGGAGAAACUUCAAGUUAAACAUCUAGCAAUCAAGAAGAAUGCAUUAAGGGUAGUUGUGAUUGCCAACCUAAUACUAUAAAUGUCAUAAGCCAAGAACAAGAGUUAAUUUUAGAUUUGUUAAAAAAGAUAGAUGAUUCGUCAAUUAAACAAGAACUUUAUAGUCUUUAAGAAAUCUGUUCACAAGCUAGAAAAUAAGAAAACAGUAAGCCCUUAUAAUCUAAAUGAAAUCUUAACAAGAUUUGAUAAGAAAUUUCCCAAAAAUGUAACCAUUAAGGAUCUUCAAGAAGAGAUAAGACAAUAUAAGAUAGAAGUUUAGGAAUUAAGAUAAUUCACAACCUUAGGUUUAACAGACCUUCAAUAUCAGAUCAAUAAGAUUUUAAGUAACCAAAAGAUUCAAGACGAGAUCCUAGAAUCUUCCAAAGCUAAUGAAGAAGUGACAAAUUCAUACUUGAAUACAAUAAACAAGGUUAUUUUCCAAAAAUGGGAAGUCUCCUUAGUCAUUAUAGUAAAAGAUAAGUUUGUCCUUAAUACCAUUGCCUUGAUUGAUACAGGAACAUCUAUGAAUUGCAUACAAGAAGGAUUAAUGCCAACAAAAUUCUAUGAAAAGAGUAAGCAAGUCCUUUUUGAAGCUAAUGGUAAAAGACUUAAGAUUAAUUACAAAUUGUCUAAUGCACAUGUUUGUAAUCAAGGGAUAUGUAUCAGGUAAAACUUUAUCUUGAUUCAAGAUUUAAAGGAAAAGGUAAUCCUUUAAGUACUUUUUUUUAAACACUAUCUACCCUAUUAAAGUAGAUAAUGAAGGAUUAAGAACAAAACUCUUAGAUAAGGAAGUUCUCUUUGAGUUUAUUGACCUGCCUGAUGAAAGAAACAUAAAUGAUUUAAGAUACCAAACUAUUAAGGCCAAAGAAAAUCAUGUUAACUUGUUAAGUCACGAAAUUAGUUAUAAGAUGAUUGAAGACCAAAGAAAAUGGAUUAAAGAUUUCAUUCAUAACUUUCUAGAAUUCUGAAGGAGCAUUCUUAAGUCCAAAGGGCAUUAUGUUCCACCCAUAAUGUCCAAAGGGCACGACAAAAGUUGUCUUAACCAAUAAUUUAAUGUCGUUGUACUAUGAGCCAUCUCCUGCAACAUGUCCCUGAAUUUAACAUCUUUCGGACCUUAUGCCCAUAAGAAUUCCUCAUUCCCUAACAGAGAUAAAGAAGCAAACUCAAGUUUUAAGCCUUCUGUGGAAGAUUCAUUCCCCAUGAAUUUAUCUGAAUGACUAAUGAAGUUUGCUCAGACAUUCCUAAUGCAUUUUGGCAUAGGAAGUAGCAUGAGGUAGAACUACCUUAUGACCUAGAGUUUAGUAAGAAGAACAUUCCCAUUAAAACAAGACUAAUCCAGAUAAACAAAGAAUUGUUAACAUAUUGUGAAAAUGAGAUUCAAGAUCUUCCUGAUAAGAAAGUCUAAGUCCCCUUGGAGUUAUUCAACCUUUUAUGUUAAAAAACAAGCAGAACUAGAAAGAGGAACACCAAGGCUUGUAAUCAAUUACAAAGCGUUUAAUGAUGCUUUAAAAUGGAUUAGGUAUCCUAUUCCAAAUAAGAAAAACCUUCUUUAGAGGUUAGUUGAGUCCAAGACAUUCUCUAAAUUCAAUAUGAAAUCAGGAUUUUGCAACAUGUCCCCAGAUUUAACAUCUUUCGGGCCUCAUGCCCAUAAUAAUUCCUCAUUCUCUGACAAGGAUAAAGAAGCAAGUUCAAGUUUUAUGCCUUCUGUGGAGGAUUCCUUCCCCAUGAAUUUAUCUCUUGGUGAUUUUAACACUAUUACCGUAAAAUCUUGGUAUCUCAAGAGUGUAUGGAAUUUGCAUGGUAAGUGCAAGGACUUGGAGGAUAAAAUAAAUAAGGUCACCCUUCUUAAGAAUCAAACCCUUUUUUCCCCACUAGAAAAAUGUGAGAAAUUGCAGUUCACCUUACCGAUGGAUGAAGAAAAUUUGAGUGAGCAAGAGUGGAAUAGUUUUAAAUUAAGAAUGUAAUUCCAUAAGAAUGAGAUGUUGUCUUCCCUUAAACCAAACAUCCACCUUUUAAUUCAAGAAAAGACAAGUGAUUCGGCUGAAAGAAAACAAGUGUUCAUCUUAACAUAUCUACAAGAUCUUCAUCAACAAUUGUUUGUUAUCCCAAUACUAUUCGUCCUAAGGAUGACAUUCAUCAAAGAAUCUAUGUUUGAUGAGACUAAGUUUUGUUGUCUCAUGAUUGAUCCUCUUAGUUACCAGUAAGGCCUAAAGCAGUUAUUUUGCAACCGCAAUAGGAAUUGCACUAUAAGCCAAGUUUAUUUAGAUUUGCAAUGCUAUCAGCAUAUAACCCUUCAGUACAAUCAGGAGAUUCUAGUUCUCACUCCAAAGUUACUUCUAGAUUAUAGUCUGGUUUAUCAAAUUGUUUGCUAUAACCAAUGCCAAACAAUGAGGAUUGGUAGGAAGUUAGCUUUUGGACUCCAUUAGGGAUUUAAAUUGGGCAAGAAGCUUUUAGAAGCCAUUAUCAUUAGUAAGGCACCUGAAUGGACCAACGUUGGGAGUUUUUUACAUACCCAACAUUAUAUCUUCCUUCAUUUCCAAAACAAAAGACCAACUCUUUUGUUCUCUAAGGUUACCGGUUCAGACUUAUGUGAAGAGCCAAUUAAGAAUCAGAUAAAAUUCUGGAGAACCAGAAUUAUCAGUAGGGAUUUUGAGCCAUUUCCUAAAAAUUGGGGACACCUAAUUGUUGUAGAUGACUACCAACAAAUUUUUUGCAACAAAAAGAUUGAUCCUCUUCUCUUCAAAACAAUCACCGAAAAGACAAAUUUAUUAGAUGAAUAUAGGAGAGAGUAUAUUUUUCCCUUUUGAAUUCCUUUGCAAUUGUUACUUCAUCGAAAGCAGGAAUUAAGUCAUGAUUGCAUUAAGUUGUUGUCAGCCCAAGAUUCUCCACCACCUUUAAGUCAUGUCUACACCAAAAGCAUGUUAGUCUUUCAUCAUGAAUUUACAAUUAAUAUUCUAGUCAAAGUAGCAUAGUAAGCCACCGAAAGUAAGUUUCAGUCGAAAAAGUCAAAAGUGCUAUAGUAAAAGUCGUUUUUACUAUUCACUUCACAGGUGAUCACUAUUCAUGCCAGAAGUCAAAAAGUCAACAGUGAACUAAUGAUUGCUUGUAUUGUUUAAGAUUCUUAUUUUGCCUAUUUAAGGAGGCUCGGUCCUCAAUUGUAAGCAUCUUUCAAUUUCCAUUCUCUCAUCCUCCACUUUAAGCGCUUUCUUCUCCCUUAUUUCUCUCUUAAGAUGUAAGCCUUCAAGUUCAUAGCUUUCUUAAAAGCUUUCCUUUCUUCUUCCAUCUUUGGUAAGUUAUCUCUCCUUAAUAUGAUUUCAAGCUUACAUCUCAAUCUAAUUUGGAUGCAUUCAAAUAUACAAGAGAGAUGGUCAUAAAUAUAUGAUUUUUAAAAUAUUUAUAAUUUUAUUUUCAAAUUUAUAUUUAUGUUGUAUUUAAUUAAUAUAUAAAAGAAAUAAUGAAAGACUCAUUAAAAAAGCUAUGUAUAUACCCACAUUUUUCAUGUGUUUUCGCACUCAAUCAGUGAGACUCACUUUUUAGUGAAAAUUUGAUUUUUAUAAAAUAUAUAAAAUAAAAUAAAAUAAAAAGUUAGAGUCGACACUUAUUUUAGUUUUUUUUUUUAAAUGGAGAGCAAAAUAAGAUAGAAAAUCUUGUGUGACUCCUUAUUUAGAAAAGACAUGCCUACAAAAAACUGAGUUUAGAUUCGAGGAUCGGGUUACCUAUUAGGAAAACACAGUAGUGAGUUGUAGCACUCCUUUAAACUCGUAUACAUAUUGUCUCUACUAAACGAAUGAAGGAAACUAUGACAAUUAAUUAACUGAUUAUGAAUACAAAGAAAAAGAAUCAUACAAACUAUGAUAAUCACCAUUCUCUAGAUUUAUCCAACAAGAAACUUCUAUCUCUGGCUUGCUUAGACCGGCAUUGAUGACAAGGGCUCCCCAAUCAUACAAGAAACCAAUUGGAGCAAGUCCUAGUCUUACAAGAUAUCCCACCUCAUACCUUUCAUCUAAAGUCUUCCUCACCACCUACCUCCUCUUCACCGGAUCCUUUGAUCACCUCUAAAUUCGUAAGUGCGAAACCAAAACUAUUCUCUUUCCCAUUGCUAGCAUCGAUGACAGCCAAGAAAAAACAAGCAGACCACCGAAGCCAUAAAAUAAGUAGCAGGCAUGGCUAGACAUUACCCUAAAAAAUAAUGAAACUAAGAGAGGAUUGGAAAACCAAGUGCAGAGAGCCACAGGUUCUAAAACAGAGCAUCCAUGAUCACAAUCCAAUUAACAUCUCUACUUCAUUCAAGCCGAUGGUGAAAUCCAGUUUUUUUUUUAUCAAUUACAAGAAGCCAUUCUACAUUUCUGGGACUCACAGAAAGAAUCUCAAGUGUGGAAGCCAAAACAGAGACCCGGAUUGGAACACCCAUGUACAGAAUAAGGAGAAACAGAGGAUAUAAUGGAAUGGAGCUUUAAAAAAGAAUGAACAAGGACCAAAAACCCAAUAAAUAUGAAGAAACCCGACUCAUUUUUCUUUAUAUUUGGGUUUAAAGGUCGGUGGAUUGAACCAGGAAAAUAUCUUAAGAGAAAAUAAAUCCAGGAUGCAAGAAGGUUUUCAAAUAUGAAAUAACCAAUCAAAGCACGGUUAGAUUAUCCUUGAAUGAAACCAAAGAAAUAGAAGCUAGCCACCAUAACCAAACCAUUGUAACCUCACAAACAAUGUAAAAUAAUCACAUGAAAAAGAGAUAACAGUAGCAUCAUGAUCAGUAAUAAUCAAUGAACUCUAAAUAAUCUUACCUAGUAAUGCUCUCCUCAAGCAAAGGUUUUCUUCUUCCUCAAGCUCUCUUCUCGUUCCUCUGCUUUUUUUUUUUUUUUUCCUCAAGCCUCCAGUCGUCUCCCUCUCACCCCUGUUCUUCCUUUUCAUGCCAGCUUCUGUCGUUUUUCUCUUCCCGAGCCCGGUUUUCUUCUCUUGCAAGCUUCUAUCGGCUCCACUGUUCACCGCUUAGCAAGUCUCUAUCCCAACCACCACCAUGGUGAGUUGGUGACGUGCUUCACCAUGCAUCUCAACAUGCAGCUCGCUUGGAAAUUGUCCCCCCCUCCCACUCAUCGCCAAGCUCACUCUCGGGGUGGUAGAAAAAAAAGAGGGGGUCUACAGUUUUAUUUUUCUUUAUGUAAGAUGUUAUUAAUCCAAUAGAUGGAACUCUCAUUCAUGCAUGACAGAAAAGCAAACACAACAGAGGUUAUGUGGAUUGGAAGGGACAACAAACGAUUCAAAAAUCUUAAUAAAGACUAUUUGUGAUCCGCUUAUGAGAAUUUUCUUUUUGUUAAAUGUCUCUUAUUGAUAACUAAUAAAUAAUUUAUUUUUAAGUUUUCCAAUAAAACUAUUUAUUAUAAAUUCUAAAACUCCUUGUUUUGUGAUUUAACAAAAUUACAUGAUAAGUGAUUCUUUUUUGUACACUAACGCUAUGUUUGGUUCUCGGAAAAUAUGAGGAAAAAUAUAAGGAAAAAAAAUAGAGAAGAAAAGUAGAAAGAAAGAAAAAGUGAAGAAAAAUAAAAAAUAAAUUUAAAAUCAAUAAAUUAUUUUAUAUACUACUUCAAAUUCAUUUCACUUGUGUUUUCUUUUUUAUGUAAAGUUUAAAUAAUUUAAAAAUAUAUAAAUUUUUAUCUAAUUUUAAUUAUACUUGAUUUUCUUUCUUAUUUUCUAUGUUGAAACCAAACAUGAGAAAAUCAUUUUCCCCAAUAUUUUUUUUUUUUCCUUAAUAUUUUCCGGGAACCAAACAUAGCCUAAAGGAUUUCUGAUACCGUACCGACCUAUUAUAUAUUAUAUAAUGGAUUCUUAGGUUAUGUUUGGUUCUCAAAAAAUUUGAGGGAAAAUGUGAGGGAAAAAAAUAGGGAAGAAAAGUAAAAAAAAAAAAAAUGAAAGAAAAUGAAGAAUAGAAUUUAAGUCGAUAAAUUAUUUUUAUUUAAUAUUUCAAACUCAUUUUAUUUAUUUUAACUCUUCGAUAUAAAGAUUAAAUAAUUUAAAAAUAUAUAAGUUUCUAAUUAAUUUUAAUUAUAUUUAAUUUCCUUUGGAAUUUUCUAUAGGAUAAUCAAACAUGAGAAAAUCAUUUUUCUUAACAAUUUUUUUCUUUCCUUAAUACUUUUCAAAACCAAACAUUACCUAAUAUUUUCAAAAUGCUAAUCAUUAAAGAAAUAUCAGGCAUGUUCAUUAUUAUAGAAGAAAACAACAUUUAAGGAUUCACAAACAUGUCAUAUGACAAUAUAUGAUAGGCGGUUCAUCUUAUUCAGAUAUUCACAACCAAGAACUAUUGGAUUCUCUUCACUUUCAAAUAGGCCCUAAAAGGAGAAGGAAGACCAGAAUGCUAGCAGGCAUCUAUUAUUGAAUUCACCUUAUCCGAAAGUACUCAUUUUAAGAACAUCCAAUGCCAAAGUCACUGAAUAGGUAAAUAGUCAAUCCUUAAAACUCAUAUUAUUCAUGUUUGUAUGACAUCUAAUUAUUUGACUAAUUUAAUAAAGAAAAUGAUAAUUUAAAAUGUAUAAAUAGUAAAUAAUAUUCCCGCAGAAGAAUGAUAUUCAGGACAUGUGAUGAAUAUUUUUAGUGAUAACAAAAAUUCAUUGAAAUCAUCUAAAAAACCUUAUUCUACUUCUUGUUAUAUAACGACUAAACAUGUUUUAAUUUUAUGUUACCAUUCUAGAUUCCGUGAGUUGAAAUGCAAAGGUUAAACCGAUUGAAGCACUUGAUCAUGAUAUUAUUAAGAUUUAAUAAAUGGUAGAAUUGUAGGACGUGCAGGGAGAAUAUAGAUCGAAGGAAAAACUGAAAGCUUAUCAGAAAUUAAAGUAGUAUAAUUUUAUAAAUUGCAGGAAAAUAAAAGAUUAGUGAAAAUCAAAUAGGGAAAAUAAAAUAAAGUUGGUAGAAAUAAAGCACAUCACUUGUCUUGUGCCAAAAGGUGAUCAUUUUGUUACUUAAAGAAACUAAGGCUAGAGGUGUCCAAUGGGUCAGGCCGCCCAUUCUGGCCCAUGGCCUGACUAACAUGACCCAAAUGAGCGGGUCGUGCUAUGCUUAAUGAAACAACCUAUCGUGCCAUCAUGCCUAACUGUCAUGCCGACCCAUCAUGUUGGCCCACUUAGCCCUUUCAAAUAUCAUUUUUUACUUCUUUUUUUCUUUUUCCUUUUUAUUACAUAUCAAAUGUCUAUAAUACCCUUCUCAACAUCUAUAUAAUGGCUAAUUGAAGUAAUGCAAAUUGAAUACAAAAAUUAAAAUACUAUAUGUCAUCUGCUUCUUUUAAAUCUAUUAAAUGUAAUUGGUUUUUAAAGGUUAAGUAAUACAUAUGAUUGAUAGUUGAAUGGGCAUCAACUUAGUAUGGAUGUACUCAAACUAUAAUGAUGUAAUUCUCACCUUUUAUUUUUCUCCCUAUUUUUCAUGUAAUUUAUUGAAAUAUUGAAUAAAAAAUUUAUUUAUAGAUAUAUAUAUAUAUAUAUAUUAUUUCCUUUUAUAUUUCAAUAUUUUAAAUUUAUUGUUAUUUUUAUUUUAAAAAAGAAAAACAAAAACAAAAAAUUAACAUUUUUGUAGAUGUUAUAAUUACAAACUUGAUAAAUAUAAAUAUAAAAAAAUAAAAGUAUAAUUAUUAUAGAUGUUUAAAGUAACAAAAAGAAAUUUCAUUUAACAAUGAAAAAAUAAAGACAAAAUGACCUAAAAAAUUAAAUAAAAUUUUUUAUCAAAGUGAGUGGCUCAUGGACCGUGGGCUGCCGACAUAACCCAUCGUCACAACAUGGCACGAUUGACACAACUCGACAUGACGCGAUUGGCCCACAAGCUUAUAGGCUAUGUCAAGCCACCCAUUUGGUUUGCAUAAGCUAACCCAAUUUGACACGAUUUUUAAGUGGGUCGUGUCGGCCGAUACAUUGGCUUGCUAAACAUUGGGUCAUGCCGGCCCAACACAACUCAUUGGACACCUCUAACCAUGCUAAAGAAAAUGAUUUUUUUGUGGUUGAUUUUAUCAUCAAAAAUAUGGAAAAAAAAAAGUCAAAUAUAACUAAAAUUAGUGACAAACUUAUAUAUUAUUAAAUUAUUUAAUCUUUAGAUAGUGGAGUUAAAUAAGUAAAAUAAGUUUAAAAAGAUAUAUAAAAAUAAUUUAUUGAUUUUAAAUUUACUUUUUUAUUUUCCUUCACUUUUUCUUUUCACCUACUUUUCCUCUUUAUUUUCUUUCCCUUACAUAUUUCCUCAAACUUUUUGGGAACAAACAUUGUAGAAGGAACUCAGUUAAAAGGAAAAUGAAAUGAAACAGCUAAACAAUAAACUUCAAAAUUAAAAUAGGCGGGAUCAAAAUGGAGCAACAAAAGAAAACACAGGCCAAGAUCAACCUUCUGUUUGCAUGCUGAGAAAACUGAGGAAAAGAACAGAAAAUUUAAACACACCUUCCUGUCAUACAUCCAAUACGUGGUCAUAAAAGAACCAAUACUUUUACAGGGGAAAUUUCAGAUAUCUCGUCAGGUGGGUCUUUCCACCAACAACAAUCUUGGAAAGAUUUCAAUUCUCUGCAUAAAAACCAUUCUGUAUGUUUCUCAAAAACUAAUUUUCAGUAUCUCAUGCUCAGGCUAGAAUAAGAUUACAAACAAACAUUUAACAAGGUAACGAAAACCACCACCGAAGAAAAUUGAUGAAAUCGACAUCCACAUGAAUGAAACAGAAGGGAAGGAACAAGAAAGAGUUUUAAAAACCAAAAAACCUUGAUCUUUACCAUUAGGUAUCUAAUCUAAUCCGACCAAAAAAACCAGGGAGGAAAGACUACACCUCCAACAAAGAGCACGUAAAAAGCGCCACUGCAUUCUGCAAAUGGCUUGAGUGGAGAUCCUCAGGGACUGGAGCACUAAAAACGGUGUCAAAGCAGCUCAAUUGAACAUCACGUGUUGAGCCCUCACCACUGUCAGAUAGAAGCAAACCACAGAUCUCCUCCGCCAUUUUUGAAUAUGCCACUCUAAUGCAGAGAUAUAUAAACAGCAAGGAAAUAAGAUUGCUAGAAUGUCAUGAAUAAGUGCCAAAUCCAGUACAAAACAGAUAUAUUUCAGGAAUACCAAAAACAAAAAGAAACUUAGAAAAUCUUGUUUCUACAUCAAAAGAUCUAAUACAAAAAGAAAUUUACAGCUCCAUUUGGAAAUUGUUCUUGAAAGCAGUUUUCUCUUCUUUAGUAUAGAAAACGGUUAUCUAACUUACAAAACACAUUUGACAAACUUCUAAUGGAAAACGGUUUGCUGAGAAUUUGUUACAUAAAUAGGUUAUUUUUUAGAACAAAUUUUAGGUUUAUUCAGUAGCUUUUUGUAGAGUGUUUUGAGUAACAAUUAAAAAUAUGGAGAGAAUACUUCAAAACUUUUACAUAACACUUUGUGCAUAGUGCCUCCAUGAAAAAUAAAACUGAGAAAACUGUUUUUCAUAUUUGAGUUCCCAAGCAGAGUUUUGCUUUUGAAAACAAUUAACAACUGUUUUUAAGAACUAUUCUUAAAAAUUGUUUUCUUAUAACAUUCUCAAACAUACCCUAAAAUACAGUUUUUGAAGCUAACAAAGGGAGAGUAAUUGAUAGAAUUUUUGCUUCCAGGCAUAAGUGAUAAUUUGUUUUGGAUAAUGUAAUAACUGUGUUAUAAUUUGCGCCCUCUUCUUACAUGACAGGUGGUUUGGGGGGCCGUUCUAAUCCUUGUCUCAAUUGGUUCUUAAUAUAAAUCAUCUGUGAAGAACAUUUCUGCAGUGUUGUUGCCCAGUGCUUGCAUCUAAGACCCACUUCUCUGUUCUCUUUUAUAGUGGUGGUCUGCAGCUGAAGUAUCCCUUUCAUUUUGAAAUAUGUGGCUUAAGUAGGAAGGAUUUGGGGCCCUGAUCAAACAAUGGUGGAUAAGCCAUCAUUUCACACAGAAAGUUGAAGACCCUUAGGGAGGAUUUGAAGAAAAGGAAUCCUGAAGUGUCCAGUAAUUUAGCAAUUUGUAAAGUGUAAGUCUUGAAGCAGACAAAAACGGUGAUUUGGAAGAAACAAAUUGAGCUUAUUCUGAGUAAGAAGUUAGACCAAGGAGUGAGGCUUUGAAGAAUGUCAUAGUGGACUUCAACAAAACUCAUAGGAGACAGAAGUUUAGAGCCAUGUCCUGAAUCAAGGAGAAAGGAAAACCAAAUUCUUCCAUGGAGUUGCUAACGCCUAAAGGAGUACCAUAUCAGAAGAAUCAUGAUUGAUGGGGAUGCCAGUGAUGAUAAGGAGCAGUUUUGCUCAUCCAGUUGUUGUACUCAAACCAGUAGGUCAAAAGACCCACCUGACAGAGGGGCAAAUCCCACAUCCAUUAAGGAUGGUAAAGAUUCCAGGGUGUUUUGAUGAGGAGGGGGUUUGAUUGGCUCUCUUUCUUUUUCCUUUUUUCUUUUUUUCUUUUUUUCCUUAUUUUAUCUGAAUGGAGCCCCAGACCAAGCAGCUUUUACCAUGGAGUCUUGGAAGCAAAAAUGGGAGACUCUUAGAAAGGAUGUCUUAGGGUCUUUCAGGGAUCAGGAUCAUUUUGGGGUGUUGAAUAUGAUGGUUGUAUUGGUUCCAAGGUGAAAAAGAAAGGGCAAAGAACGUUAAGAAUUUUAGGCAAAUCGAUCUGGUGGGGAGUUUAUUUAAGGUUUUGGCCAAGAUUCUUGCUAACAGGUUGAGAUACAUGACGGGAAACUUGUAUCGGAUCUUCAUAAAGCAUUUGUGAAGGACCAGGAAAUCCUUGAUACAGCUCUCACAUCUAGCAGAAUGCAUGGUAGGGAAGUUUAUAUUCAAUUUUCAGAAUGUGGUUGUAGAGGACCAGAAAAUCCUCAACAUGGUUCUACUAUCUAGCAAAGCUAUUGACUAUAGAUUAGAAAACUCCUAGGCCCAUGAGCAAGACAGACAUUGAAAAAAGCUAUGCCCAUGUAAGAGGAAGCCUUUUUCUUUAUCCUCUCAUGGCAACAAAUGGAUUCUGGUCACAAAAGGAUUUUGGGUUGAAAUUCUGCUAACCUACAAUUAAAUUCUAACUUCUGAUACAUGUGUACCCUCACAAGCCCCUUCCAGAGUUCCACAAUCUUGAGGCAAGCUUAUCCAGUUCCCUCACCAAUAUUUCAGUGGGAAUGGCCAAUGGACUAAAUUUUGGUUUCAUGUGUGGGGUGGGGAGAGGCCUCUCGAGGACCAAUUUCCCAGGCCUAUUCACCUUUGCAACCAACAAGGAGGCUCUGGUGAAUUAUUGGAAUCCUUGUGUCUAGGAGUUUCCAUGAUUGAGGAAGAGAUAGGAUCUCAGCUCAUUUUCACAGAUGCUGUGUUAGGGACACAACAGAGGAUUUCUUCUAUAGAAGCCACUGAUAGGAAGUGGUUGUACUCAAUCAUCAUGAGAAAGGCGAUUAGUGAAGGGCAUGAAAAGAAUGAAGAGUAUCACUAGUCUAGUUCGACAUCAUAUCGACAGUACACUCUAUCUUAAACAGUAUCCAAAAUCAGUGGCAUACAAAUUUAACACCCUCUGCUUCUUUGAAUCAUGGGUUUUCCAAUGAGUUCAAAUCUUUCUUUUGAUUGCAAGUCAUGUCAACUAAGAAAACAUUAUCAUUCUUCUUUUUCCAUACAGGGGUGCAAAGCCCUUGUUCUAAUUUUUUAUACUUCAUUCAAACAUCUAAAGCCCUUAAUGUAUUCCCAUAGUUAAAGGGUUCAAGUAUUUUAUGUCUUUUGUUGAUGAUCACUCUCAAGCUACAUGGUCAUAUAACUUGUAUCUGUUAAAAGAAUCAACUUUCAUUCUGAUGAUGAUGCCCUUGAGUUUUGCAAUAAUAUUUAUUUUACAGGCAACCAAAAAUAUAAUUAAUGCCUAAUAAAAUAGUCCCACCAAAACAUACAAGGUGGUAGACAAAGGGUACCAAACUAGUAAAGAAAGAAAGGAAAAAACGAAAAACAUGCCCCCUCAAAAAAAAUGUACUCAACCAAUCUAUAAAAUCUAAUAUAGGCAAAGAGAUCCCAUCUAUAGACCUGCUAUCCCAAAGCCAGAGAGACCUCAAAAACAAAUUUUAAAGAGCUUAAUCCGCUUGUUUCUCACUUUCAAGUGCUCUUCCCCAUAGAGGUCCUAAGCCAACUUGGUAGAAUUAUUCGCACUACGGAAGAUAGAACCCACUUAAUGCCAACCAAAAAAACAAAAAACAACAGGUGCCACAAGAUCAACAUUUUAGCACAAUGAAAAAAUGAUAUGAUCAUCUGUCUGAAAUCUGCAAUAAUAUUAUUUCUGUUUUUUUGUGUCAAAAAAAGGGGUUCUUCAUCAAACCUUUUGUGCAUACAGCCCUUGAUAGAAUAGUAUGUCCAAGAGAGAAAUCAUAAUCCCUUGGAAAUCACUAGAACCCUUAUGUUUCAAAUGAAAGUUCCAACAAAAUUUUGGGGGAAGGUAUUUUGAGGUUUGCUAUCUAAUAAAUAGACUGACUUCCUGUCUUAAAACUUUAAAAACUCCUCAUUCAAAUCUAUUUCCUUAUAUACCACUUUUUCCUCUCUCCCUCCUAGAGUGUUAGGCUAUGUGUUCUUUGCUCCCUUAGUACAUCUUUCUAACAAAUUAUCUUUAAAGUCAGUCAAAUGAAUUUUCCUUAAUUAUUCUACAACUUAGAAAGGUGAUGAAUUUAUUUUUGAUAAGUAAAAGCAAUUGAAUAAAGAAAGCCUGAAGUACACCUGAAAGUAUACACGAAGCAUACAAGGCAACUAGGCCAAAGGGAAAGAAAAAACAAAAAAACCCUUACUUACAACCCAACCAAUCAAUGAAAUCGAAAGUGGACCAUGAAGCACAAUUCACAUGCACCCUAACCCAAUCCGAAAACAUGUACAAAAAGGACCGUAAAAUAGCUUGAUCUGCUAAUUCAGUAUCUUCAAAGAUUCUUUUAUUUCUUUCCUUCCAUAAAGUCCAAAAUAAGCAUAAAGGGACUGCAUUCCACACCUUUUUUCUUUUCUUUCCAACAAAGGUGCCGUUCUAACCAAGAAUGGUUUCCUUGAUAGAAUUGGGCAAAACCCAAUGAACACCAAAAAGAGCAAAAAUAAGGUGCCAAAUCAUAGCUACCUUGGGAUAAUGAAUAAGCACAUGAUUAGCUUAUUCUUCAUCCACUUUACACAAAUAGCACCUACUUGGUAAGGCCCAACCCCUCCUUUUUAGUUGAUCAAUAGUUAGAAUUCUUCCCCAGAUAGCCUCCCAAGCAAAAAAGUUGACUCUCUUUGGAACCCAAGGAUUCCAAACUAAGCUUGAAGGGAACUACCUACCAAUGCAAGGGGCUAGGGAAGAGAAAAAAGACUUAACUGUAAAGAUAUCUUUCUUUGAAACCCUCCAAGACAUGACAUCCUCAAUCCCCCUUCUAAGCGCAUGACCAUGUAACCUACUGAAAAAAGUUUCCACCUCUUAGAAAGGUGAUAAAUGCUUUGACUCAAUUUCUUGAAAUUUUCAAAUCAGUGCAGAUGUAAAUCAGUUUGAGUCAACCAUUUAUAUCUAUAAGUCUAGUCUUGGUCUCGACUUUUUUUUUCCCCGCUUGUGUCCCUAUCCUCAACCAAUGCAAAUAUAUGGAAGAAAGGGAUUUAUACAACGGAAUAACAAGUACAAAGAUUUCUCUCCUAUUGUCACACCCUCUGCUAUAAAAUCUAACUCAAACAAUUUAUGACUGAAGGCAGGUGAGGUUGGUUUGACAAGGUUGGCAAACUGAAGAAAGCAAUUUAUGACUUAAAAAAAUUGCCUAUACCCUGGUUCAAUAAGUUGAGUGGAGUUGUUUCCCUCGAUUUUGGUGUUGUCACUCUUAUCAUUUUGUAUUUGUAAAGCACACACUAGGAGGUAUAAUCAUCCUUCUUUAUGUAGAUGAUAUAAUCGUUUCUAGCAAUGAUCUGAAAGGCAUAGAGGAGGUGAAGACUCAAUUAAAGAUAUACUUCCGAAAGGAUAUGGAACAACUAAGUUAUUUUCUAAGCAUUCAAGAGAGGAAUUGUUCUAUAUCCCAAAGAAAGCAUAUUUAAGAUCUCGACAGUCAUGGAAGAAAAUUUCACCAAUUUUUGGCAAAAUUUCAGGGAAAAAAACAGGAUAUUGGGACAUAGCGAUUAUGAUAAAUUGAGAGGAAAGACUGCAUAAAAAAUUGCAGAUUUUUUUCCCUGAUUUUAUUAUAAUUUCCUGAAUUUUCUGAUUUUAUUGGAAGUUCACCCUUUUUUUUGCCAUUUCUUCCGAAAUAUUCACAAUAAUCUGGGCACCAUGUCUGGUAAACCAUAGAGUCAGCGCUCCUUAAAAAUUGAAAAGGAAGGCUGGGACUCCCCAGUCUCCGGUAUGAAAGGAAUGACACUUAACCAUUAUGCCAGUUCUGCCCUUGGUAACAUGUAUUGCAUAACCAUUAGGCCAGUCGCCAGUCGCCAGUCUCCUCACUUUUCAAGGCAUCUUAAUGAUUGGGAGAUGGGAGAAGUGGAGUCUUUGUUUCGGAAGCUUCAACCUUUGGCUGUAAGAAGAGAUGCAGAGGACUUUUUGAGCUGGAGAGAAAGUAGGAAUGGCUGUUUUUCUGUUUGUUCCCUUUAUCGUUCCUUCACGAGGGCUUCUAGUGAUCCCUUCCCAUGGAGCAUUAUUUGGAGGUCUUGGGAUCUAGUGAGAGUAAGCUUUUUUGCUUGGGAAGCGUCUUGGAACAGAAUUUUAACUUGUGACCAGCUGAAAAGGAGGGGAUGGAAUUUUCCAAAUAGAUGCUACUUGUGUAAAGAGGAAGAGGAAACCAGUGACCAUCUUUUUCUGGUUUGUAUUAAAGCUAGAAUGUUGUGGAAUGUGAUCCUGACCCUUUUUGGUGUGCAUUGGGUUUUGCAUUCCUCUGUGAAGGGGAACUUGCUUGGGUUGCACAGAAGCUUUGUGGGUAAAAGAAGGGAGAAGGCGUGAAGGGCUGCACCUUUAUGCUUAAUGUGGACUUUAUGGAAGGAAAGGAAUGGGAGAGCGUUCAAUGAUGUCGAACAGUCCAACCAAGACAUCAAAUAUUCUUUUUUGUAUAAUUUUAUGAAUUGGGUUAGGGUGUAUAUAGAGGAUUACACUUUGUUUAUGAUUGACUUUAUAGAUUGGCUGUUUGUUAAGAGGAUGACUUUCUUAUUACUUUGCUACCUAGUUUUUUGGGCGUUUCUUUGUAUACUUCGUGUGUACUAUUUUCGCCGUUUCUAGGUGUUUCUAAUGCAAGCUCUUAUUUACCUAUCAAUAAAUAAAUAAAUAAAUAAAUAUAUAUAUAUAUAUAUAUAAAGAGAGAGAGAGAGAGAGAGGCUAGUUCUUCUAGAUUGAAAAGCAUUGCUAAAUGAUCAAAACAAGUGAAGUUUAACAGUUAAGGUUGAUUUUUAUCAUCUAAAGAGAUGAGCUACAAAUAUGUGUGUGGUUGUGUUUCUUGGAUUUGGGCCAAGGGAUUAAUAUACCUUGCAUCAACUGGUAAUCUGCCACCCCAAACAGCCAAAGAUUCAUUUAAGCAACUGAAGAAGUCUUUACAAGCAGCAUUUUUGCUCUCCAGAGAAUCCUGCAAAAACAUAUAGUCAUUAUAAACAAGCAAAAUGAUUACAAUAAUGCAUUUUUAGGAUAUCCCACAUGUCCUAAUCUUAAUUGUAGGCUUCAACUUCCUUUAUCUAACACAAAUAUCAUGAAAUUCUCUCAAACAUGAAUUGAAAUUCAACAAUUCUCUGUGCCUAUCCUAAAUGUCGGCACCAAUUGAAAUCAUAUCUUCCUUAGCAUGCUUUAAGAUAUUUCAACUAACAUUCAUGUUCUUCUCACUACCCCUGUAGCCCAAAUUCUCAUUCUUUUCCAUUUUUUUUUCUUAAGGAAAAAAUUAUACUCUAUUAAAAAAUAAAAGUUUCUAACAAAAAAAAAAACAAAAGCAUAACCCAUGUAUACUGGGAGCAUACAAAGAGCACAAAAAUAAGUGUCUAAGAAUUUUUUAAAAUAAAAUAACAAUCAAGCAUAUCCCAUGUACAGUGGAAGCAUAAGAAGAGCACCAAAAAAAGUGUAACAAAAAAAAUUGCAUACCCAUGUACACUAGGAGUAUGCAAAGAGCACCAAAAGACCACAAAACUAAAACGACUUCUUAACCUUUUUCUAAACAGUCAAAAUUAAAAAAUAUAAAAUCAAGAACGGGACCAAUGUUAGAGUUUUUCAAAUAAGAUUAGAGCAACGGAACAAAGUACUUGACAAAGCAGUAAUGUUAGUCUAAGCUCUCCAUUCACUCAAAUCAUCUUAUAGUUUGCACUUUCCAAAAAGACGAAAAGAGGCAAAGAUGAGUGAUCCUCCAAAAUCUCCAACCCUUCCCAACAAAAUUUUCAUGCAUGUAGCAACUUCUUUACCAAAAAGGGGAGCAACACAAAAACUAAAAGAAAGAAAACCCCAAGGUCCAUACACUGAGGGCCACCAUGCAACGAAUGUGACUAUGACUGGCUAACUCCUCUUUCUAGUUACACAGGAAACAACAACUCUAUGAUGGUUAACCCCAUUUCAUAAGCAGAUCCAAUGUAAGAAUUUUCUCCCAAGUGAAAAAACCUGACAUUAAAAGGCACUUACUUCCUCAGACUCAAAAAGCUAUAGAAAGAUUUGAUCGAGAAACUCUUGUUCUUAGCCAGUAUCAACCCCAGCUUAUUAGCACAUCCAUCCCUCACAGCCACUGUCUAAAUACACUGAAGAAAAGCUUGCACCAUCUGCAACUCCCUAUCCAAGAAAUUUCUCCUAAAGUGAGGGGACCAGAUACCUGACCACCUACUCCCUCUUAGAAAUCAACUACCCAAGCCCUAUGACAAGAAAAAAUGCUAAACAAGAACCAAGAAUAUUUUAAUAGACUCCCCUACAGUAAGGAUCAUACCUGAACUUACUGAGAGUCAUAACAAACAACAAUAUUCAUGCAAGCUUGAAAAGUUUCUCAUUCUUUUCAAAUGGCAUUGUCCAAAGGGCAACCCCAUUCCCCUCCCUUCCUUGAAGACCCAACAUCUUUCACCUCACCAAAUUUGCUUUGGAUGACAAUCCUCCAUAAAUUUGCCUGCUCUUCCACAAACCUCCAAAGCCACUUCCCCACUAAAGCCUUGUUGCAACUUGUACUAUGAAAGCCUUAUGAUUCACAAACCUAUCCUGCCUUUAUCUAAACAAAUAGUUGACUAUAUCACCAUAUGAUUCUUUUUCUCAAUACUACUACCUCCUCAAAUUACUAUAGGAAUGUUGAUCAAGAGAUGCAUUGCCCUAUACAAUGUGAGAGGAUAAGAUUCUUGCCAAUUUCAAGUCUUGAGGCUCGGCUUGCUCUUCUCAUGGUGAUUUUGUGAUACUAGUCUAUCCUGCCAAGUGCGUGAGCAGCUCAACCAAAAUACAUGUCAUGUUUCUCAAAAUGGCUUCAUUCAUGGAUAACACAGUAUUGCAUGCAUGCCACACCUGCAUUCAUAACUUUCCACGACUCUAGAUCCAGUUUGAAAAAAGCCCAAACCAAGCCUGUGAGUCAGGCACAUCUUGGAUUGGUUGGAUUCAACCUGUAAAACUAAUUUAUAAAUUAUAUACUGAGAGUGACCUCAUAUUUGAGUAUGUAAAAUGUAACAUCUGAAACCUAGGCCACAUGCUACUACAGUAGAUAUUCAAGAAAAAUACCACAGCACAAGAUAUAUCCUACAUUCAAAUUUAAAGCCACAAUAAUAAUGAUAGAUUUUCAUACCAAUUCACACAUGGUAUUGUUUUCUUCUUGCAAAGAACUUCGUAUUAGAUAGAAUGAAAUAUAUACUCCAGCUCCCAAGUCCCAAUGUUCAAUUUCAGACUUAUGGUCUUCCAUGGAAGUUGCAAGUCUCCAUAUCUCCGAGUGUUUGGCUGCUUAAUUGAAAAAGAGGGAAAAAACCAUAUCAAACAAUAUUUUUAAACAGCAGCAUCAAUUGAAGAAAACUGUAGUACAGAAUAUAACAUGCUUGAUCAUUAACCUUGCCCUGAGGAAGAAGACCAUAUACAACAACCUCCACAACCAUAUCAAUCAAAAGUAAAAUCUUAAGGAAGAUGCUUCAUUCCAACUGAUGAACUAAUCAAGUCUAGAACAAUUUGACACUAAUUCAAAAACCAGGUUAUCUUUCUUUUAUCUACAAAUGGAAGCAUAACAACUUGAGCACUGAAGGAUAGAGUUAACAUCAAGAAAACAUUAAAGCCCAAAAUGUACAAAAGCAAUUUUCUUAGUACCAGCCACUUGCUUGUGAUUUCAGAUGGUUGUGUAAAGCAAAUGAGUGUAUCUAUGUUAAAACAAAAAAUAGUACACCAUGACUUGUAAACUUUAGUUUACACCAAAAAUUAAUGACAGAAUAAAAAUUUAAAAAAAAAAGGCAUAGAAGAUAAAAGCACGAGGAUAAGUUCUAUCCACAUUUCAAAUAAGAUGAUAAUGCACCCCACACACACACACAAAAUAAAUAAAUAAAUAAUCUAGCUGAAGUUUGACAUCUUAGACCCAACAAUGCAUCCAACAAUACAAUUUCUUUUACAAGUUUAUUUAUUUAUUGAUUACUAUUCAAAAAGAGCAUAUAUUAGAUGAUACUUGCUAUAAGUUUCACAUGUUUUGGGUAGUAAUUAUACCUAAAAUACUCAAUUGACCUAUUGUACUCUUGCAAUGUUUACAAACAUUUAUUUUGAGUUAUGGAGUGAUUUUAAGGCACAAUAAGUGUCAAUUGUGUAACAAAGGAGAAAGUGAGGUUGAUGAAGGAUGAAAAUAAGGGAAUAUCUCAAGUAUACGCCUAUGGUGGGAAUUCAUGGAGAUGAAGGGAUGCAUCCUAGCUUAAGGAAGCCAAGUUUAAGUAAAAAAAGGAUGGUGACUUGAAGCUAUUAGCAGCCUAAGAUUGAUUGGAAGGGUACUGGAAUUCAUGCAAAUGCUGAAAAUAGACUAUGGAUGAAUUGAGUGAGCUAAUGGAAGAGGAAAAUGCAUCUUGGAAGGUUCUGAAUGGCAUUUGGGAUGUUAUAUUGAGUAUGCAUAGCAAAGGGGUGAUCUCAACAUGCUGAAAAGGAUGUUCAAAUGGUCAUGUGAAAAUUUCGCAUGAGUGUGCAAAAUGAACCAGAAUACAUGUGAGCAGCAGCAGUUGACAAUCCUUUCGCGGCCAUUUUCACAUGAUCAUGCCAAACAGACAAAGGGUGCAAGUUGCUGCCAAACCAUCUCCAAUUCACAUGAUCAUGCGAAAAUGAUGUUUCUUGUACAAAAUGUUGACUUUGGCACCAAAAUACGAACCAGACCGGAACCAUGACCAGCCGGUCCGGUGCGGUUUUUAAAACCAUGUGAUCUCUAGGAUAAUGCCAAGGGUCUACUUGACCUUGGCCUAUAAAUAAGAGUUUGGAACUCUCAUUUGGAUUUUGGUCAAUUUUAUGUUAUUUUGUACUUGAGAGAUUUUUUGUAAUUCUUCUUUUAAGAAAUAUAAUUUUCUUUUGUUUUCCUUCAUUUUCUUGCUAGCCAUGCACGUCUUGCAAAAUCAAAUCUCCAAACAUGAGUGGCUAGAUUUUGUUUUUCUUGGAGGAAGAAGGAUCUAGAUUAAAGAUAUAUGGUGAAUUAGGCAAUUGAAGCUAAAGAGAAAAAAAGGUAAUUUGAUUGAAUAUAUUGAUUUAUGAAUUUGAGAAAAUAUUCUCUUUCAAUGGCUUUGAAUAAAAUAUAUAUAUAUAUAGUGUAAUCUUAAUCAAUUUAUCAAAUGCUUAAUGCUAAAUUUGAUGAGACCAUAUAGUUGCAUUAUAGGAUUUAUUAGUACGUGAUUGAAGACAAAUUGAGCUUAAUUGUGAAUGAUUAAUCAAUGCAAUUAGGAUUCCUAAUUUCAGAAUUAAUGGGUCUAAAUUUAGAGCUAAAUUAAGUAUUGAUUUAGGUGAGAUUUUUCUAGUGACCUAUUUAACAUCGAAAUUGAUUUCUAGUGAACUCCAAAACCAGGAACUUUUUCAUUUCAUAGAUUUUAUUUUAAUGUUGUCCAAUUUUAUCUCCUCAAUUAUAAUCAUUUUUUCUCAAUUUUCAUUUAUGAUUUUUCACUAUCUCAUCAUUUAUUCAUUACCACUUCAUUCACAACAUUUUCUCUCUUGAUUACAAGAAUACAUUUACAUUCCCAAUGGACAAUACUUUGUACCACUAUCCUAUUAUGGCUCUUUGUUUAAAAUUCUUUUGAUCGGAAAAAAGCUGCUUUGGAAUAGUAGAAUAAUAUUAUAAAUUUUGUUUUGAUACAACAAAUUUACGAGCAUUUAUUCCUUUUGAUAGACAAAAAUUGGUUAGAAGACAUUAGAGAUGACAAAACCAAAGCACAUGACAAAUAUAAACAGACAACUACAAAGGAAAACAAGGAAAAGAAGACAAAGUACAUGAGUGAGAACAAAACUAACAUAGAAAACAGAAACAGGAGCAAAAAAAAACCAAAAAGCUCCUUAAUCCAUUCUAUAAGUCAAGCUAUUGGCCAACUCAAUAAAAGAGUGCCUUCUAAACAUAAAAAUCUCUCAUACAUAAAUCUCUCUCGUUCAAGCAUGCAGAGAUCCCAGCACAUUCUGUUUAAGCCUGUGUUUUCUAGCUUCAAUCCUCUUAUUAGAUUAUAUUCUGUUCCUUUCAUAGGCACCAAGCUAAUAAAGGGAAACAAUUCAUAGCUGCAAUGGAUAGCAGUCAAAGGAAGGAGACAGUGUAUCCCCUCCUAUCCAUAUGUUAAAGGUUUUAGGAAGGUAAAAGAUAUCAUCUUAUGGAUUUAAACCAAGUGGGAAAGGGGGUUGGGCAUUAUUAGGGUAUUUGAGGAACACAACCUUCUUUGCCAACUGGCUGUUGAAGAUUCCCUAGGGAGGGUUACGAGCUUGGACGCAGGUUUCUCAAAAGUAUCUACAGUUCACAUUCUAAUGAAUGGGAUGUCAUCAUUCAGGCUAAGUGAUCACAUCAAUGCUUGUGAGAAGUUUUAGCUCAUACCUUCACUAAUUUCUUUUGCUACAUUCAUUCUUCCACUGGAGAAGACAAAAAGAUUCAUAUUCUGGACAAUCUGUGGCGGCUGAUCAGCAUUUUUUUUAUUUCAACUUCUCAACCUUUAUUUACUUUAUAGGUCCCCAAAGUCAUCCAUGUCUGCCUUUUUAUACCAUUUUGAUUCCUUCCACUCCUAGAAUUUCAACCUUUAUAUAGACUUUUUAGACCAUGAAAUAGAUGAUCUUUCCUUGUCAUUAUCCCGAUAAAAUGUUUAUUUAUAAUAAUUGUUUCCUGAUAUCACAGCAUGGUUACUUUCACCUCUUGGACGUUUCUAUACAGAGUCCCUUCUUUAGGUUCACUAUGCUUUCCUCACAGCCAAUUUCAUUUGGAAACCAAAAGCUUCAUCUGAAGUUGAGGUGUCAAUAAAAGGGCCAAUUCUAAUUACUUGCUAUAGCUAAGAAAGCCCACUAAAGCCAUCAACCCUAAAUCCUAUGUCAUGGACUUGGCGAUGAGGAGACAGCUUGAUGAUCUCUUCUUUCAUUGCCCAAUCAUGAUGGAUGCACAAACUCUUUGAUCUGGCCAGGAUAGCCUAGGCUCCUCCUAGUACUAUUACAAAAAUGUUGGUGAUUGUAUGCGAGCUUUGGAGCUAAUGCUAAAAGUAAGGUGAUUUAGUGAGUGGCUACACUUGCAUCAUUGUGGGAAUUUGAUUAGAUAGGAACAUAGCAUAUUUAAGGAAAUGAGGCUAUGGAGUCCUUAUGGGGUGAGAUCCACUUUCUUUCUUUCCUAGAACCCCACAGAGUAUGAUUUGGCCAGAUAGAGAUGUCUUUCAUGCAAGUAGGAGGGUUGAGGAGAUUCAUAUCAAGUGGGUACCUCAAACCUUGGGUAGUCUCAAGUUUAAUUCUGAAGCUUGUUCUUUAGGUACCCUGAGAUGGUUGUGUAUUAGGAGAGUGUUUCAAGAUCACAAGGCAAGAUGAUUAGAGCCUUUCCCAGGCUGGUUAGGAAAGGGCUGCCUAUAAAAGCAGACUUCUAAGAAUGUUGAAGGUUUGACUCGAGCUACUUUUGAGUUUCAACAAUUUCUUGAUGGAAGGUGACUCAAUACAGUUAUACAUUGGGUGUCACAAAGGGAGUGAGGAUUUUGGAAAUGGGACUCAUGGCUGGAAAAAUCUUUGACUAAUUUACCUAGUAGGAUGUCCCUUUACAUGGAUUUCUCAUCAGGCCCAUCAUUUAGCAGAUAGAUUGGCAAAGCAAAGUGAAUCAUUUCCUGAGAUUUUUGUAGGAAAAUGCAUUCCUAUUUUCUGCCUUUGAGUUGCUCAAUUGUAUUUUUACCUUUUCUUUCCUUCUAUAGCUACUGAUUCGAUGGAUUUUUUCUCCUGAUGAAAAGAAUUAUUCUAGCUUUGGGAAAUUAACACAUUAAACAUAUCAAGAAAUGUUUGACUUGGGAUUGUUUUCAAUUGUCAAAGUGCCCAUAUUAUUGAAAUAAAAAGAGCAAUAUUUUGAUUUUUACUGAAAAUAAUCGAUUUUCAGAAAGAAAUAAAUAACUAGUUUUCAAAACUAUGAUGCCAACACUGGAUUAAGUUUCCAAAAGAAUGAAACGGUUCUCAUUUUUGUUGUCAAGCACAUCAUAAGAGUUUAAUAUCCACAGUUUUAUUGUAUGUCAAUAUUAAAAUCCUUCCUUGGGCAUGUUUUUGCAGACUAAUAAUUCCUAAGAACCUACGAGUGCAAGAAAAAAUGACAUAAAAAAGAAUCCAAUAACCUAGAACUGAGCUUUAAAGCCCUUAAUGAGCAUGUUCUGCCUAUCCUAAUUAGCACUGAAAACCCUUUUUUUAAUGGGAAAACAGAAGCUAUGAGUAAGAGUGCCUAGCAAAAACAGGAUGUCCAACCCCAAUACACCAGAGUAAACAGAGAGGACCAAAAAAAGGAAAAAGGAAAAAGGGAAAAACACAACAGCGCAAAAAUCAGCACUGAGAGAAAGCACCCAUAAAACCUAUCUAUUACCCAAGCCCUCAAUGAAUCCAUCAGGGUGGUCAAAACCCCAUGGGACGCUGACGCAGCCAAAAACCAAUUUCAGGAAAAAGUUCUUCAGCAUCCAGGUAAAUUGAAUUUUAAAUCCUUUAGCAAUCCAAUAUAUUCCAAAUUAUAAGCUAGUUUCAAAUCUAAAAUCCUACUGAAUUAAAACUCCCCCAAAAAAAGAUUCAACUAGAAUUUCCUUUUUCUUCUUAACCUAAGUGACUCGGCACCACAACACAGUGCAUCUAAGCACAGCAGUAUGAUUGUGCUUUCACCAACACACAAGGCUGCAAAAGAUCGACUCCAAUGUGAAUACUUAUACUCCAAAUCACUCUUACUUUUGUGCGAAUAUGGUUCAAAAUAAUAGUCAUUUUAUUAUAAAAGUUCCAUUAUAUAUUCUUCUGGCAGAAGUUAGUUUAUUAAUCAUAAGGGGCUCCCUGGAAUGAUUAGCAUCACUGGGCUAUCAACAACUGGAACAAAAAUGAGAUAAUAGCAGAGAUUAUGCAAAGAAAUAUCAUUAACUAGAACAUAUGAGAUUUUACCUGACAAGAACAAUGAAUGAGCAACUGAAGUCAUGAAAAGAGAGUGAGCCUUUUGCCAAUUUGCACAUGCAAUAUAGUGUUCAAGGGCCCUUGAAAGAUCACCACAGUAAUUGAAGUAUACUGCCUGCAAUUGCAUAGAAUAAAAUAAUUCAACCAGAGAAAGUGAUGUGCUCAACAAGAGACAUGGAGCUUCAUUUUAGAAUCUAUGACUUUGCACCCAUGAUAAUUACCAUAUUAUAACUUUUUAGCAAGGCAAUUGUGAGGAAGUUCAAAUUCCAUGGUAAUCUCUGUGACCGAUCGUAAGAUGUUACUAUCUCAUAAUUACAAUAUCCAUUUCUUUCCAUCUAUGGAAAUGAUUAAAAUAUAAGUUUCUUAGCAGGGAAAUUUUUCAGAACAUUCAACUCAACAGUAGUCUCUGUAACCCUAGUUUAAUAGCUUACAGUCCCUUGGCCUGGAUAAGAGCCUAAGACUAUAGGAGAGCCACAGCCAACAUUUAUAAACCACUGGAUUUGUGACACCCCAGUAACACAAAGAAUGGCAAUGCUAGACCCAGAUAAAAGACAAAAUAGAAGGCUCUAAACAUGAAAGUUCUGUCUUGUACAAGAGCAAGAAACAAUGACAUACCAUUGCCUCGUGCAACCAUGCCAAUGGAAUGCCUAAGUCCUCCAUAAAUUGGCGUUGUAAUUCUUGUGAAUGCCAAGAUUCACAAUAUUGGAACAAAAUUUCCCGAAUGAGAGUAGCUUGAAGGUAUGGAAAAUCAUCACGAAAGGGCAUAUGAAGAACCACAUAGAUGGCCCAGUGACAUUGCCCUAGACACAGAAGCUGGGAAACAAGUCCCAUGUCAAGAACAUGAAGAUCAUUAGAACUGAAGGCACCAACUGCUUCCAACACUGCACGCUGAUGCCAGAUCAUAUGGUAGUCCAGUGGAUCAUGUGUUGACGAGAAGGCACUGAACAUUGUCUUCCCAAGUCCAAAUUCGCUACCUUCACUGGCAUGUAGAAGCAUAAGAUAAUAGGCUAGGUCAUAACGUUCCCCCACACUCCAAGAUACAGCCUCUUCUACAGGUCCUUCAUCAAUGUAGACUGGAACAGGAUGUGGAGCUCCUCCAUCGACAAGAAGCUGCUGGUAAUUGCGAAAAACAAAGGGCAAUGAAGUGUCUGGUGGUAGUUGAUACCACAUCAAUAAACCUAGGAACCUUUUCCAGUCAAUGUUUUUGCCAUGCAAUGCACCAUGUAUAUUACCAGCAAGCAACUCAAAGAGCCUUAUCCUGUCCUUCUCAAUGAAAUUGAAGUCCAGCCCAUUGGUUCUCCAAAGAUCAAGCUGCUGAGCAACAUCAGCACGAUUUAUUGUGGAACCACCAGCCUGACUCAGCAAACAAGCUAGCCUCACAUCUCCUCUAGAAGCGGCCAGUUCCACAGCUGCAUCCAGCUGUCGCCCUGUCAGCAGUAAUAAUAUCUGUUCCAAAUCACUGGACUCAUUUAAGGAGCUUACUUCAUCCUGUACCCGAUGGCAAACACUCUCUUGCAACCAAUAGCUGAACUCAGCUCUCCGAAUAAGAGGGAGUGCUUCCAGGUCAACAUCCGAAGAACCUUCACUCCUGUCAUGCAUCAUGUCUUCCUCAUUAUCAGCUCCUGCAGAUUUUGAUUGUCCACUGAUUUCCCUAGCCGAAAAAAGAACUUUUAUCAAUUCCCAUACCAUUACUUGGUGCAUCAACACCACACGAGCGGAGGAAGACACCUCAGGGACCUCCAGCUGCCUCUCAAUAAUUCCUAUAUAGCUCCGGCAAAUCUCUGAAAGCAUUAAACGAUUAGAGACUGGGUUUUGAAGCCUUAAUUUGAAGGACCCAAUUUCAACUUCUUUUGUUUCAUGCUUAAUAUCCUUGUGUAGCUUUAAUGGAGAAAUGAAACAUGAAUCAACAAGUUCCUUUCUUACUUUGUUAUUUUCAUCUCUAACCACUUUAUCAAUUGCAACCUUUUCUAAAUUGAUUACAGAAGAUAAAACCCUCUGAGAAUCAUUGCCACCAACUGCUGCACCAGCAUGAACAAGGAUGCCAUUAGGGCCCCACCCUACACGAAAGGACCUGCCCAUGAACAAUGCUGCAUCAACUAUGUUGUGGGAAUGGCUUUCUGUUAUUGGUGUCUCAUGCUUGAGGUCCAGCUUAAAUCCUUCUACUUUUGUAGUCUUCAAAGGCAUUCCCUUAUUUUGUUGGGCCAUAAGAAUGGUUCCAGAAGAGCUGGAGUCAACACUACCAGGAUUGUACUCAAGCAAAGCUAGUGGAGUUUUCCGUGCCACAGAUGAACCAGAUUUAUGGCUCAUCCUCCGAGCGGAAUAAUGCAAAGGAGGUCGUAUAUAUUCCUUAUUGAAAGAUUGUUCCCGCUGUUUAAAUUCCCCACUGAAAUCAUGAUCCUCCUCUUCAUCAACAGGAAACAUCACCAUUCUCAUUUCUUUCAUCUUGAUAGGAUCAAGCCCAAGAUGAGCAGGAAGAGAAUGAGAAAGUACAGCUCCAUUGGGUUCCACUAGUGUGGCUUCAUCAAUAUCAGAAACCUCAUGAGCAUUUGUUUCCAGUGGAUGUUGAACUACAGUCACAUCAUCCAUCGCAAUAUCCUCUUCAUCAUCUUCACUCAAUCCAAAUCUGCUGAAAUGGUGUACCAAGAAUUUCCAUUCACCAUUUGAUGGGUUAAAUGAAAUGAAAUCUGCUCCCUGUCUCUUUGUACAAAGCCUCAAUUUCUCCACAAUAUCAUUUAGUCGUCCCUCUUCAAAACUUGAUGAUCUUAUCUGUAGCACCAAAGUUACUUCAGCAGCCUUGUUAAGGCCCUGACCAACCUCAGGCUUUGCACCUUCAUCUCCAUAUACAACCACUUCAUGCCUCCCAAACCUGAUUAUUUGAUCUAAGUCCAACCAUCUAACAUCAGUGUCUCCAAGAAACUUGACACGUCCAUAACCAAAUCUUCCAACUGUAAAAUCUUGAACUCGGCUGCAAAAGCCAGAAUCCAUCAGUUCCCUUUUAGCCAACUCCUUCAAGCAAGGUUCCAUAUAAUAACCCGAAGAUCGCAAAGUCGGUAGGGAAGCUUCAACUUCACCAUGAACCUCACACAAAGAAGAAACAUUCUUCUGAGAAAUUUUUCUUCUCUUGUAUUGAUGCAGUGCAAUUUGUGAGCCAGAGGUUCCAGCAUCACAGCCCAUUCCCAUAGUGGUACCAAAUAAAAUGCUAUUUCUUGUACUAUGAAGUUCAUUUAAAGUCCCUGAUAGAAAAGUAAAAGGUACAAGAUGAAUUUCAUCAAGAACACAAAUAAGUGGAGAGAUUAAUAAGCCACCCAACCAGCACACAGAAAGUUCUUUAGAUACAGCCCAAAAACAUUAAUAAAAUAAAAGCCCAUAAGUUUUAAAAUAAAAUGCUAUUUCUUGUACUAUGAAGUUCAUUUAAAGUCCCUGAUAGAAAAGUAAAAGGUACAAGAUGAAUUUCAUCAAGACCACAAAUAAGUGGAGAGAUUAAUAAGCCACCCUAUCAGCACACAGAAAGUUCUUUAGAUACAGCCCAAAAACAUUAAUAAAAUGAAAACCCAUAAUCAUUUAAAACUUAAGGCAAACCAUGCUGCUCAACCUAAGCCCAAGGUCAGGUCAGGUCAAUUAGAGGCCAAUUCAAUUUGUUUCUUGCAAUUAAGCAGUCAAGUUAAACUCUAUUUUGAAGCUCACGAGUUUUUUAGUAAAGUGACACCAGUAUACUACUACCAUGCUCUGCUCCAGUAGAGUCCAAAACUGUGAUGAGCAUCCCACAUCUUCCAUAUCCAUUUCCUCUUAUUGUAUCAGAAUAUAUGACAAUCUUAAGCCUCACCCUCAAUUUCGUUUCCAAGAAAUCAUUCAAAAACAAGCAAAGGCAAAAAAAAAUCUGAUUUGUAUUUUCUAUCACUUCUGUUUGUAAAAAAGUGAAACUCAACUCAGAAAGCCAAAUAGUUAUAUUAAGUCUAUUUGAGCUUGGGUGUUUCAUCUACCUGUGUACUUUGGUGCAUUUUUGUUAGGCAUUGUUAAUAUAUUCAUUUUGUUUGCAUAUGAAAAAAAAACUUGGUUUUCCUUUCUUUUCCAGUUUUUUAACCCUUCUGAUUUCUCCCUUGGCUCCUGAAUAAUUCAAAAAAAAAUCGGGACUAAAAUUUUUAUUUCUUCUCAUUUUCUCCAUUUGGUCAGCAAACAGACAAGGCUAAUCAGCUUUUAAUGGGUCAGCAAUUUAUAACGAUGAGCAAUAGGGUCAGACUGUGGUGCAAAAAGCACAUACUAGACUUUAUAUUUUCUCUUGUUUAAUCAAAUCCCUCCCCAUCAAAUAGAAAGAGUACAACGCAAAUAAUAAAUAUCCAAUGUGAUCAAACACUCUUGCCUUCCAAUAUCUCAGUCUGGAAAAUAACAAACCCUAAACAUCAGUUUGGUUGCUGAGAAAACAAAGCAGAACAAACACAAGCAUCAAAAGAAAAACAUAAAACAUUGCUUUUGAUUUCUAACAAAUGAAAAAGCAACCCAAGGAAGCCAAAUAGUUGAACUUGGGCAAGCUGAGAUGAGUUUUUAGCUUAUCCAAGAUUGAAAAUGUUAAUUACUUCUCUUUUCCUGCCAUUUCUCAACAAGCAAACAGCAAAACAGCCACUAAAAGGAAAGUGGAGACGGUAAAGAGAAAUAGAAGAAUUACCAGAAAGUGGAAAGGGAGAAGCAGAUGCCAUGAUUGAAGAAAAGAAAGAGCGAGAGGUCUAGGGUUUGUGUUGGAGAGCUUGUCACUGGGGUUUCCAGCCUGCCGGUCAAAUGACUGGGCUUCAACAAUUCUCUUCCUCAAAAUGAGGCUGGCCUAGCCUGACUAAUUUAAAUCCAGUUGCCCAAUUGCUGCAGACUGCCAACUCCACUGUGGGGCACCAAAUUGGUGAUGUGAAUAAUAAAUUUUAAAAAAAAUAAAAACAAAAACUCAUGAUAGUAUUUUUCUCAAUGCGCAUAGAAUCAAACCGGUCAUUGAAUCAGAAAAUAUGCUAGGUCAGACCAAUAGACCAAAACCGUGCAUGACAUCAUAAAUAUAUCAUUUGUAUAUGAUUAAAAUUAAAAAGGGUUAUUUCAUUAAAGGGCCAUUGAAAAACAAAUUCAGAAGAAUGACCUCCCUAUUUUGAAAACAUGAAAUCAAACUUCAUUAAAUAUUUAAUUUCUAUCUCCUGUCAAGCAAUUUUUUGGAUAGAAAGUUCAAGAAUAAAAUUGUCAUUUGCAAUUUUCAAGACAUGAAAGUUAUUUUUCCAAAUAUGGGUAUCAUCUCAUCCCUUUUAAUCAAAUAUUUCAAUUAAAAUUCAUUAUAAAAAAUAAAAUAUGUAUCUAUGUAAAUAAUUAAAAACCUGGCGGUGUUCAUAAUAAUAAUAAUUAACGUAUAACCCAACAGACCUUCACCAAAAUGAACCCAUUUACACAAAAUUCAGCCCUAAACCUCUCUUCAGACUACUGCACAUUUUAGAGAAAAUUAGAAAAAUUAAAACAAAACAACACACGGGCAAACUGCAAAUUCCAAAAAUAUACACAAGCAAACUGGAAACAUAAACACAAACUGAAUAUGUGACUGAACAUGAUUGGGAUCAAUAACCACUGAAUGCAGCCGAAGGCCCGAUAACAACGAAGAUAAAUGAAAUCACAAACAACUUUCUAUUCAAUUCAGAGAGAGAAACAAUGCCCAACUUCAUUUCACAAUGUCACGGUGUUCAUUAGUAUCAUAACUGACAAGAAAGGGAUCAACAAUUCAAAUAUUCAACGCAAUAAUGGGUUUAGGGCUUACCAGAGAUGAGGGAAUAGUCGACGACGGCACCAGAAAACGGCAAGGUUCAUUUCAGCAGUUCAACGGCAUUGGGCAGCAAACGGAGAUGUCCACAAGGGUCUGUUCCGGCGGUGCUCAGCAGUGAGAAGGGAGUGUGAUGUCUGAGGGAGGAGCAUGGCCAGUGGCAGAGCACGACUUGAAAUGAAUUUGGGGCUUUAGGGCGGGCUACAAAACGGCGUCGUUUUGACGUCCAUCACAUGCCCAGGUUUGGUACGCGUGAAUCAAGAGGAUGGACAGUUAAUAGAGUUAUUAACUUAUUAGUACUAUAUAAACUUCUUUUUAAAUAAUAAAAAUUAUAAAAAAUAAUAAUAAUUUAUCGGAAAUUAAGACAAAAUUUUUACUCUUUUUUAAAGUGUUCGUGUUGGAAAAACAUUACCGCCGUAUUUUUUUUCACGCACGUUUUACAUCAUAACGAGACUUGCUUUUUAUUUUUUAUUAUAAAAAUUGAUUUCAAAAUAUUUUAGUUGUAACUUAUUUUUAUUUAUUUAUUAAAUGCAAUUUUAUUUAAAUAAAAAAAAUGUUCAAUUUUUUUUUAUUUACAAUGAAUGAUUUUUGCUCGCUUUGUUAAAAAGAGGAUUUUUAAAAAUUUAAUUUCAAGAAAUAUUUUGAUUUUAUUUAAAUAAGUAAUUGUGUACCAAAUUAAAGAAAGAUAUUUACAAUUUUUUUUACCCAAAAAAAAAAAGGAUUUAAACCAAAUUUUAUUAAAAGGAAAAUUGAAUUUUUCUGAAAAAGAGAUUAUUUAUUGCCAGUUGAUCUAGGAACUUAUUUCCAGUAAAAACUUUUAUUGAGAAAAUUAUUUUUACAAACUAAUUUUUAUUAAAGAAAUUAUACUUAAAAAAAAAGUUUACAAAAUUUUAUUGAAAAACCUAAUUUUUCAAUUUAUAAAAAAGGAAUUUACAAUUUUUAUGUAAAAGAAGUCAUUUUGCAAGUUUCAAUUCAAAAUACCCUUAGAAAAAUGACAGCUUUUUUAUGGAAAGGAUAUCUUUAGUCAAUUUAUUAAAAGCUAUAAUUUUCUAAACUUUUGUUAAGGAAAAAAAAAAUCUAGACUUUUAUUAAAAAAUAUAUGGACUUUUUAUUUAAAAAAGAAUUUUCGGGUUUUUUUUUGUUAAAACAAUUUGUUAGAAGUUAGUUACUGUAUAUUUAUUUAUUUAGUUACUAUAUCUCUCAUUUAUUUAGUUACUAUAUUAGAAUUAUUUUUUAAAAAAGCAAAGAUACAUUAGUCUUUAUUUCCUUUUAUUAGAUCUAUUUAAAUUUUAAUGAUGUUGUACUUGUUUUCAAGAGAAUUCAUUAUAAGAAACUUAGAUUUUCUUUUCUUUCUUUUUCUUUUUGAAUCCUUUUUGGAUUUGGAUGUGGUAUUUGAGAAAAUUUGAUUUUUAAUGGAACUUUUGGUUUAUGAUCUCAUUAAUAAAGUUUAAUAUCAUGCCUUGCUUUUGCGGAUCUAACUAUCAUACACCACAUUCACUAAUUCAUGUUGGUUGAUCAUGGAAUUCUUUUUCAUCUUGUCUAAUAUGGGAUAUAGUAAUGGGUGAUUGCAUUGGUUUUUCCCCUUUCAUUCUGAUAUUUGAUUUUGUAUUCAUUUUUUUUUUAUUCUUAUUUACUUUCUUUUAUUUAGUAGUUAUUUGUUGUUUAUUCACCAUAACUAGUGAACAAGAUGAUUCGCCUUCAAUUUAUUAGUGUGAGAUUAGAUACAAAAAAUUAUUCGUAUUAGAGUUAUGUGAUAAAAAAAUUUCUAAAGGGCAAAAAAUGUGGCAUUAUAUUAUUGCCACUUUUAUGCGAACUUAUGAAUGAAAAUGAUGAAAAAUAAUAGAACAAUUAGAUGUUUAGGAAGUAAGCAAUUCAAAAAUUAUCACUUAGAUCAACAACUUCGUUGAUAAUUUGAUAGGCAUGCAAGUUCAUAUAUUUUACAUUGUACAUAACUUGAAUGCACUAAGAGUUACAUAGAGGAUAUAAGUCAUGAGCUCAUGAUAAGUAGACAAAUUGUCUACAAUUAGUUCAUGAACUUAGACAAUUUAGUAGAAAUUAUAAUGUACUACCUCAUAAUUAGAGGGAUAACUUAUUUUGAUUGUCGGGAUAGCUUUCCUAUGUUCACUAGUGUGUAUAGUCACACAUUAAACAUGACCUAAAGUAAAUCAUGGCGUAAGGCUAUCGAUUGUUAUGAUUUACCAAGUUACUAUAUUAUAUAAACUCUCGAUCUUUAAGAGGAUAUUAAGCUUAUGUUAAAGUCAACAAAAGGCUUUGACUAUGGUGAGACCCAAAAAUAGUUACAUAUCCCCAUAGAUUAUGUUACUAUUGAUGAAGACAGGUGACAAUGAGUAUUAUCAAUAAAACCAUUAUGAUAUCUCAUGAAAUUCAAAUAGUGUGUCCCCUUGUGUGAUCCAAAGGACAAAUGAUCUAGAAGACUAUGAUCAUAGCAUUUUCCUUUAGUGAAAAUGAGCUAGAAUAUGUCAAUUGAUUAUAUAAUAAGUGAGAUCUAUAAUUCAAGGAUUGUAAAGGUAACCUUGAUAAGUGAUAACACUAUUUUAUUAUAUUACAAACACCAAUUUAUAGGUAUUAUGCAUGCAAUGGAUAAUACGUCAUAAACUCAAGUUUCAUCUCGUUGUUAUUUACGAAAGAUACCGGAGUACAAUUGAUUAUAUAUAAUAAGAUGUUGAAUUAACUUUAGAAUUAGAUUCUAAGAAAGUCAACACUCUUAUGGGUCUUAGUGAUCCCUGUUUUGAGCUGAUUUACCAUGAUGAUAUGAUUUAUGAAGAUUUGAUUAACUCUAGUUUCACUUUAGUGCAUAAAAGCAUUUUGAUAAUUAUGCAAGAUUGCACAAAGGAUGGUGAACAAUUUUUUUUAUUGGGUUAAUUGAUUAAUUAGAUUAUUCUAAAUGAUUAAUUAAUCAAUUAUGACCUAAUUUGGGCUAAAUUAAGUUAUCUAAGCCCAUAUAAGCUCAAAUCACUUAAGCCCAAUAAGGAAGCCCUAUAAAUACCCUAUUAGGGAUUAGAGUUUUGUUUGAAAAACUUUAGUUAAAGUUUCCUCCCUUCCAAAGCCCAUCAUUUGGAUUGAAAGAUCGUAGUUAUAGUCAUCAGAUAGAAGAUCUUGGGUGUAUGAGACUUCUACAAUUUUUAAACAUCUUCCUUACUGCAUGAAUUUGAUCCGGUAACAUCUAAAUCUAGGUAAAAAAUUUUAUAGUCUUUUAAUCUAGAUCUUUGAAUGUUAAAAAUGUUAUUUUUGCUUCUGUUGCAUAAGAUCUAAAAGUCGAGGUAGAUUGUAUAUUCUUAUAUAAUACAAGACAUGAGAACAAAGAGAUCUUAGUUUCCCAUCAGAUUAUACCAUAUAAACCUUCUUAAGAUUUAACGCUAGACAAUCUAAUCUUUUAUUCUUCUAUUCAUCGGAUAGAAAUCUCAAUCAUCAUUCCUCGAGGAAAAGAGGUCCACACUUCUCUUUUGCCUAGAUGUAAAGAAAAAUUCAUCGAGUGUAAAACUAGUUGGGUCUUCGAGAAAGCUUAUGCAAUUUGACAAAAAGGGUUUAGGAACAUUCAAAUAUGAUUUUUAACACCCUAGAAAUUUUUUAAUGGGAAUUAAUUCCAUUAAGCAUAGGAUUUUUAAAGCAUGUUCCCCUUCCAUUGAUCCAAUAAUCCCAACAACUAAAGCAUUUGAAACAAUGCCUCAUUGAUGACAAGCUAGACAUUAAAACAAUACCUUGUAUUAUUCCUCUUCCACUACACACAAGCUCUUACUACAAUUAGACCUCCACCCAUCAACUACAUUGAUGCUAUGGAGAUGUGUGAGUACUUGAAAUCAUAUUUAUAUAUAGGAAUAAAAUUGUUCCUUAAAUCAAGGGGUUUACCUAGAAGAACUAGCCAAAUGUCUCUCUCCCUCUUCAACUUCAAUUAGGUUGCAUCUUUAUUUUUGGUAUUUAUCCUCUUGGCCUAACAUGGCUUUAUUAGCUUUCUGUAAAAGUGGUUAUCAUCCCUUUUUUUUGUGAAUUAAUUUCUUAUUUAUUUCAACCGUUACAACCCAUUAAUAUCUCCUUAAAUUCCUUCAACUAAUUUCCAAUUGGAUCCUUAUUUCAUUAAAAUUACCACCUACCCAUUCUAUGAUGUGGUACACCUUCCUUUUACCUUGCCCAAAGUUGCUUUUUCUUUGAAUGUCAUGUGGGUGUUGUUCAAGUCGCACCAUACAAUAUGUCUACUUUGAAUUAGUAGAGAUGUAUCCAAAUGUAAAACUUACAAAAAUUCUUACAUUUGAAUUUAGGGAAUUGUCAUUCAAUUGUUUGUAAUGUCAAUUUUGCCAAUAAAAUUGCAUCUUUUUCAAUACUCUACUCAUUUCCUAGUAUUUUAGGUGUGAUCUUUUGAUAAAAAUAAUUAAAUUAUCAGGAAAAAAAUAAUAUAAAGUUUAAUAAUAUAUUUAAAAGAUUUAAAAUAAUUUGUAAUAUUUAAUAUAUGAUAUAAAUUUUCAUAUAUUAAUAUAAAAUAUUCAAUGAUACAAUAUAAAACUUAUUUAUUAUGUAUUAUAUUGAAUAAUAUUAUUUUAAAUAAAGAAAAAAAAAUCAUCAGUUAAUUAUUAAUAUUCUAUUAAUACUUAAUAUUUAUCUUGAGUGCAAGUUGGUAAUUCCCAAAUUAUUUAAGAAUAAUUAAAAUAUUAUUAAAGAUGAUAUCCCCAUUAUUGAAAAAUUACUUUUGAAAAUUUACUUUUUAUAUGGUUAUUAAAAUGGAUGAAAUUUGCUUUUCUUUUUGCCUUAUCAAAUACCAUUAAUUUUUUUUAGAAAAAAAUACAACAAAGGUGAGAAUCAAAUCUUUAAUGGGCCUAAUCAAAAUUUUGUUUUGCUUGAGGUGAGUUUGAAGCUUAAAAUAUUGCCCCUGGAUAUGAUUAACUUCUUUAAUAUAUGCGUCUAUUAAAUAGUCUUAUUAUUAAGGAUUUAUUGUUGCCAACUUGGUAUGGACAAAGAAGAGAGAAGAGAAGUGAGAAUAUUGUCACGGACUGGGUUUUUCCUAAGCUCAUGUGCGGCACUUAGGAGGGUCAUUUGGAGCAUGUAGUGACAAUAUGGUGAGAAAUCAGCAAGAGCGACAGCAGCAGAUCAAGAGCUGCCACUGCAAAGUAGUCCAUGCUAUAAGUAAUUCGGUUUUUCCUGCUGGUUGAAUGCCCUCGAUUACCUGAUGCUGAUUAUGGUGAGUACAAUCAACAUCCCGAGGUUUGGAUCCCCAUAAAGAGUUUAAAGGGUUCGGUUCCUUGGUUAUCACCAACAAAAAAAAACCUAUUUUUUCUCCAUGCAAGGACAAUUUCCAUAAGACUUUCAUGCUAACCAAACAACACUCACUUUAGUCUGUUAACCUCUUCAUUGAACAGCAGCCAUAAUUUCAAUUUACAUACUCCAAAUGGUGGCUACAAGAAAUGCAAAAUGAAAGGUUGACAUGGCUUUUUAGUUGGCUGCAAGGAAAUAAGCGCCACAAUGAGUUCAAGACUAGAGGCUAGGACAAAAUUUGGAUGGGAAAAUGUCUAUAACUUCCCCCAAAAAGAAAAACGAAUAAGUAAAAACACAAUCCCAUAUAAAUGUACAGAUAUUUGCUGCAAACCAGCACACAGCUUCUUAGGAAGGUGUUAGCAUUAUAAGAUCACAAGAAAAGAAUGGAACAAAAAAAAAAAAAUCAAAGAUGAUUUUACUUCUUUUUGGUCUGCAAUUAUGAGAACUUAAACGCCUACGCUUCAGAAACUGACCGACAUUUAGGCUGAUGAAGGUGAAUUGAUAAUCAAAGGUGAAGGUGGAGGAUGAGUGCGUCUGGUUCUGCUUCUGCCCCUACCACUCCGAACUGCGGUGCCAGAAGGAGACAAUGACGAAGAAGAUGAAGAAUUCGAAGAAGAUGUGAAUCUAUUUGAGGGGCUUCUCAAUUUCUUCUUCUCUACUUCAUCAACCUUUUCUUCUCUUCCAUUAGGCCUGAUGCUGAUUCUAGUUGAAUUUAUGCUCAAAGGUAGAACACAAUUACAGAAAAAACCUAUAAUGCAUCAACACAUAGGUAUGUUACUUCAUGUAUAUCAAUAAAGUAUUGUCUAUAGACUGGUGUUUGGAUACAACAAUUAAAUAAAUUUUUUAAAAAUGUACAAAAAUAUGUUUCCCCCUGCAUUUUGUUAGAAUGCAUAUAUCAGUGUAUACUGGGAAUAAUUUCAGAAAAAAGUUCCAGCAAUGAAUGAGAAUGCGAACUGAAGUUCGUGCUACAAGACAUGGAAGAAAAAUAUUUUUCACGAUAUUCUAAUAGCGAUAAACCAUUCAGGAUUUACUGAAUCAUGUGAGGAAAAAAAAAACUUUGAGCUCAAAAUGUUGAUUGAAGUAGAUAGGAAAGGCUCAGGUGGUUGGGCAAAAAAGAACCAAAAGAAAAAAAGGGAGAAAAAGAAAGAAUGCAACUUGAGUUGAUUAGUUGUUUCUUACAAUAAGAUUGGCUUUAUGUCAAGAAUCACACUUGCAACCAAUUGGCAGAAACAUGAACUAAUUACUCAGCCAAUUCCAAGACCCUACUAAGACUAUGCAACACACUCUUCACAAAUGUUAUCAUCAUCAACCAAGCAGCAUUUACAACAAAAAAUGUGUUCUUAUCUGUUCAUUUAUCAACAAAAUCUCAUUAAUAAAAACACAUAAAAGAUAUAUUACAGAUUUGUAAGGUGCAUUUCAUA